rnacentral:lncRNA from 1 species
GGCGCUCAAUGUCCAGGGAGCGGCGGCAGAUGUCGUAGAUGGCCUCGUUGUCGAGCAUCACGGCGACAUCGGUGUGCUCCAGCAGGGAGUGGGUGGACAGCACCGAGUUGUAGGGCUCGACGACGGCGGUCGACACCUGGGGCGAGGGGUAGACGGUGAAGCCCAGCUUGGACUUCUUGCCGUAGUCCACCGACAGGCGCUCCAGCAGCAGGGAGCCCAGGCCGGAGCCGGUGCCACCGCCGACGGCGUUGAACACCAGGAAGCCCUGCAGACCGGUGCAGUUGUCGGCCAGCUUGCGGAUGCGGUCCAGGGCCAGGUCGACAAUCUCCUUGCCGAUGGUGUAGUGGCCGCGGGCGAAGUUGUUGGCGGCAUCCUCCUUGCCGGAGAUCAGCUGCUCUGCGAGCGUGAAGGGAACGGGGGGAGGCGAAGUCAGCACAGGGCAAGGAAAGGGCGCAGGACGGAAGCUGGGCGGACUUCAAGGCACUGGCUGAAGAAUGCUGACACAGCCGAAGGCCAACAUAUGACUGCAAUAGCAAGCGAGAAGCCCAGAUCGAACACCAAGAGAAGCCCUUUUAGAACGCACGCACACAAGUUCGAAGCACAUGCGAACUCACCGGGGUGGAACAGCUGGCGGUAGGUGCCGGUGCGGACCUCAUCCACCACGGUGGGCUCCAGGUCCAGGAAGAUGCAACGGGGCACGUGCUUGCCGGCACCGGUCUCCGAGAAGAAGGUGUUGAAGGCAUCGUCGCCACCGCCAAUGGUCUUGUCGGAGGGCAUCUGGCCAUCAGGCUGGAUGCCGUGCUCCAGGCAGUAAAGCUCCCAGCAGGCAUUGCCCACCUGUGCGGGAACGCGAGGAGGCAGAAGCGGCAAAGUCAAAGCAAGGUCAGGGGGAAGAUCCGCGGCCCAAAGCGCAAGCGCGCGCAGAGGCAAGGCCAGCAAGCUGUGAACGCUGCUGAUCAAAUUUGCGAGUGCCCCAGGAAGAAAGCGAGCAAAUGUGCCAGGUUCGCGGCAAGUUCGAAUCGGCGCUAGCAAUCUCCCCGCGGUCCCGCUCCCCCUCUCGUUCGCAGGCGACUGACCUGGAUACCGGCCUGGCCGAUGUGGAUGGAGAUGACCUCACGCAUGGUUGCGAAGGGACUGGAUACGGAGAAGAGAAGGGGAGCGAAAGGGGAGUCUGCUAACCGGGGGUGACGCGAGGCUUAAUGACCUGCGUACCAACGGUACUUGUGUUUGUGGAGUGUUGUUGGGAGUAAGAAGCUUUAGGCUUAAGCCAAGCUCUGGGCGGGGCCUGCUUAAGUAGUGCAUCGGGGCGCUAAGGACCAUCGCGCGCGGCCCCAUGCAGCCAUGCAGCCCGAUUCGAAGGCCCCGCGUAGGCGCCCAGGUCGGGCGCGAUUGAGCUGCAUGCCUUGCAAACAACUGCUCGGAUGGAUAGAAGCGGGGAAGUCGCUUCAGCAGUAGCGACAGGGGCAUACGGGCGGAAGGUAGCAGUGCUAGCGCAGUAAGCUGUCGAUGCGAGGGCCGUAGGCGCGCGCCUCGGAUCUUCUACCUGGGCUCCAGGGAGCGAGUGGCAAGAGUGCAUGCGCAAAGCAAAACAGCAGGGCCAAACCGUCUGGAUAAGCGCUAGGGCACUUUUGAAGUGGCCUUGAACGCGCAGCUUGCGUGAGCGUAAUCAAUCGGGGCCGGCGUUCUAAUAAAAGCAUCAUAAUGGACCUCACAUCGAGCCUGCAAGGACCGGGCUGCUCGCAGGUUGCGGGCUGGGUGUGUGCCGGAAUGUCAUCGAACUGGUGCCGCAUUGCCAGAUCCGCUCUGGUCGGGAGGGUGGGGUUUAUGCAGGGUUUUGUGGAGGCACACUGCAUCGGCAAUGCGGGCGGCCCGCCCCGGAAAAUCUGCUUUGAAUCCUGUCGCCCAUCGGGCGGGCAGUCCGCGUAAACGCUGGCGCGGCCGUGCCAGUUACCCCUUGCCCUUCCGCCCGAAUGACUACCGGCGGGUCGGUGUGCGUGUGUGGACAACAUGGUCAGGUUGUCCGUGCGGUGAUUCGGGGAUCUCAUGGUCAGGUUGUCCGUGCGGUGAUUCGGGGACCUCGUCCCUACUUACAAUGCCUCCCUGCCCGACAGCCUUGAAGCCAAGGCAGGGACAGCGCAGCCCGCCUGGACCCAGCCCCGCGCGCCACUUGGGUGACGCCGUGACGGGGAAAAGGGGAAGGGCGCCAUGAUCGCCGGGGCACACCCAGCCGGUCCCAGCCCCCAACCUGCCCCUCAGCCCGUGCCCAUUGCCCACAUGUACGGGUAGGUAUGCUUGGCACGUGCUCUUCAACCCAACUUGCUUAUGCGUGCUGGCUCGACCCCAUCCAUCAGGAGGAGCCUGACAAGGCAUCAGGUCCGAGGCGCGCACCCCUACCUCGCAUCGACAGCCCACCGCUCUAAGCACCGCCUGCCUCCCGCCUGUCCGCCGCCACUGUCGCUACUGCUGAAGCCACUCUCCUGACUCCCCCGCUUCUGUCCAUCCAAGCAGUUACUUGCCAGGCAUGCAGCUCCUACGACCUGGGCGCCUACGCGGGGCCUUCGAAUUCGGGCUGCAUGGCUGCAUGGGGCCGCGCGCGAUGGUCCUUAGCUCCCCUAUGCACUACUUAAUCAGGCCCCGCCAAACACCUUACUCCCAACAACACUCCACAAACACAAGUACCGUUGGUACGCAGGUCAUUAAGCCUCGCGUCACCCCCGGUUAGCAGACUCCCCUUUCGCUCCCCUUCUCUUCUCCGUCCAGUCCCUUCUCAACCAUGCGUGAGGUCAUCUCCAUCCACAUCGGCCAGGCCGGUAUCAGCCGGGCACUGACCAAGGCACUUUAAAAACAUGAUACUUGUGGCGUGUCGUUGCCAAACUAACUCGGCGCCGCGAACGCACGUCAGCCCACACCGGCGCGAACACCACCUCGCUACCACCCAGGCGCAGUAGCAGCAGCGUGUGGCGGCAGUAGCAGGUCACCCAGGCACGCCGUCAACAUGUCGCCAUCAUCGUCAUCCUCCGCUGCCUGCUCCUCCUGCUCUCCCUCCUGCUCCCGCACCCCACCAUGACUCAGCCCCUGCCAGGCUGUAGCAGCGGCUGUAGCAGUAGCCGCAGCAGGGGCCACGGCCGGGGCGGCGGCUGUAGCAGAGCCGGCGGCGGCGGCCGGUGCGGGCUCCAAACGUAACCCCGGCGGCGACGCCCCAAGGAUAACGGGCACGGGCUUGACUAGCACGUGUGGCAGCAGCGGGGCCGGCAGCAGCGCGGGCACAGUCGCGGGCGCGGCGGGCACAGGCCCCGCCGGCUCCGCUGCCACUGCAGACCGCGAGUCGCGGCCCGCAGGGAAGAGGGCGGCUGUGAUCGCCGCAUGCUGCGGGGCUGCAGGGCUUGCUUGAACCGGCACCGGCACGGGCACCGGCACAGGCACCGGCAGCGAAACUGGCGCCGGAGCCGGAGCCGGAGCCGGAGUCGCCGGCGCUGGGGCCGGCGCUGGGGCCGGCGCUGGUGCUGGUGCUGGUGCUGGGACUGGGGUUGGGGCUGGGGCCGGCACUGGGGCAGGACCGGCGUUGAGCGUCCGCGGCGCCGGCAGCCCUGCUGGCGACAUCACGCCUGCGAUGCGGCUGUCGGCAUGAGUACCGGGAACAUCGACGUCGGCACGAGUACCGGCAGCCGCGGCGGGUGCGGACGAGGGAAGAAAGCCGCCGGCAGUUGCGUGACCGCCGCCGCCGCUCCUGCACAGCAGCAGCGCACCCAGCAGCUCACUCGCCGCCGCCGCCGCUGCUGGCUGCUCCGCCGCCGCCACCGCUGCCGCCACCGCCUCCAUCACCGCCGCCACACUGCUGGACGCCGCCGGCUGCUGCAGGCCACCCGAGCGACUGCCGCCACUGCCGCUACUGCCGCCGCUCAUACCGGCGGCGCCACUGUAGGGGCCGCCGUACGGGCCUGUGGACCCGAAAGCGGCAGGACCGCAGUUGCCGGCGCCCACCAAAGCCGCGGAGAGGUCCGCCCAGUGCCUCAGCCCCGCGUGCCCGCCCGACAUGGCCGCCAGGAAGCCCGCGGCGGCGGCGGCUCGGAACAAGUCACCGUUGGCGGCGACGGCGGCGCCAGCGGCGGCGGCGCCGCCCAUACUCGCCGAGGCUCCAGAGGCGCCGCUGCCACCGCCACCUGCUGCUGCGUGUGCGGGUGCGGGUGCAUGCGGGGCGUGGAGGGCGUGCGCGCCCGGCAUCCAGGGCGGCAGCGAGGGGACCGGGUGGCCCCCGCCCCCGCCCCCGCCGCCGCCGCCCCCGCCGCCGCCGCCGCCGCUGAUGUAGCCAAGGAACGUAGCCCAUGGCGGCUGCGGCUGCGGCUGCGGCUGCGGCUGCGGCUGCGGCUGCGGCUGCGGCUGCGGCUGCGGCUGGGAAGACGGCACAGCGGCUGCCGGCUCCAGUCCUGUGGCCGGUCCGGGCUGCGGCUGCGGCUGCGGCUGCGGCUGCAGCAGGGAGGACCACAGCCCAGCCGUUGACUGUACCGGCUGCGGCAGUACCUGAAGAGCCGGCUGCGGUUGUGGCUGCGGCGGCCAUAUCGGCUGCUGCUGCGGCUGCUGCUUCUGCUGCAGCUGUUGCGACCCGUUGACUGCUGCGGUGGGCGCCGUCAAGGGUGCGGAGAGGCCGGGCGGCGCCGGCGGCAGCGCACGUGGCGGACUGGCAGUAGCAUCAGCCGCCGCCGCCGCCAUCGCCGUAGCCGCGGGGCCAACUGCCUGGUGCAGGUGCUGCAGCGGCCGUGGCGGAGGCGGCGGCGGAGGCGGCGGCGGAGGCGGCGGCGGAGGCGCGCGCUCGGGCGCAGCCAGUGGGCUGAACCCGGGCGGCGGGCGCCUGGGAGUGCCCGUUGCAGCGCCGCCGCUGACUGUGGCGGUGGUGGGGGCUGCGGCCAAGGCGGUGGGGGCUGCUACCACGGGUGCUGCCGCCAUCGCCUGCUGCCGCCCAGCGAGUGGGCCGCCGCCUCCCUGUGAAGACAGCAGCUGCGCCUGCAGCAGCUGCGCCGGCGUCGGCAGUGCUUGCAGUGGGGGUGGCGGUGCCAGAGGCGGCGGCUGCAGCUGCAGCGACUGGCCCGCCUCCGCUGCCUCCACUGCAGCGCCAACGCCACCGCUGCCACCGCUUCCACCCACUUCCUCGCCGCCCGCCGCCGCCGCCGCCACCACACACUCGCCGCCAGUGGCCGCCAGCCGCCGCAGGGCCGCCAGCUCCGCCCGCCGGGCCGCCUGGCGCGAUCCGCGUACGGCAACGCCGUACAUCAUGGUGCCGGAUUCUGGAUUCAGGUACGCCACAAUCUCGGGGUUGUCGCCGUACACGUACGACACCGGCACGAACCCGGCAGUGGCGGUAGGGCUGGUGGUGGUGGCGGCGGUGCUACUGCCUGCUCCUGCUGCUGCUGCCGCCGCUGUGUCGGGGUCCUGCACGACCAGACCCCCGUCAUCGGUCUGGAAGACCUGCGUGUGUGCGUGUAGAUAUGUGUGAACAAAUGAAACGAAAGCCCGAACGACGCCGUAGAUGUGUGUGUCGGUAAAGUUGUACGAGAGAAGUGAAUCCGUGAGUGCUAGGAGCGCGUGGGUGCAACAAAGGACCAUUAAGUGCGUGACGACCCAACAAGGUGUGUGGCGACAGGUCACGGCAGUGCCGUCAUUGCACCCGCAAGCUGCGCCCUGGCGUCAACACACACACCGGUCUGGCUCAGAAGCGGCGUCACGGCAGAUACGUGACUCCCUCACACACCCACACACCCACACCCACACGGGCCUCACCGGGUCGAUGCGGAGGAGGGGGUCCACGUCAGCGGCCGGGUCCGCCGCCCGCAGCCCGCCGCCGCCGCCGCCCCUGUCACCGCCUCUGUCACCGCCGCCGCCAACCGCCGCCGCCGCCUCUGCAUCCGCCGCCGCCACUGCGUUCGCCGCCGGCGCCGCCGCAGCAGCAGGUGCAUAGCCGCGGAUGUCACCACCCGCCGCUGCCGCGGCCCUGUCCGCUGUCCCCCCCACCGCUAGCUGUGAGGGGGCGGGCCCCUCCGCCUCCGCGAGGGCCGGUGGCGGCGCGUGUGCCGCCCGGGGUGCGGCGGGGGGAGAGUCCCAGCCCAUCGCCACCUCCACCACCUCCACCUGCGUCACCUCCACCUCCACGUCCACCGCCGCCGGACUUUCAGCGUCGCCGCCGCCUGCCGUCUCGCCGUCGCCUGCCGCCUCGCCGCCGCCUGCCGCCUCGGCCCCCAGCAGGUCGAAUAUGUUACUGGAGGUGAAGACCGAGGCCGCGCCGGGGGAUGCAGGCGGCAGCGCGGCAGCCGCAACAGCACCAGUAGCAGCAGCAGUAGCAGCAGUAGCAGCAGUAGCAGCUGUAGCAGGGGCCAUGCUCGAGGCGGAUGCAGCCGCGGGGGUUGCAGGCACAGGCACAGGCACAGGGGCAGGGGUGCGGGUAGGGGCAGCUGUGACGGUCACCACCACCGGCGCGACUCCUCGGCUGCGUGGCGCCGGCCGCCGCGGUGCCGCCAUCACCCAGCCCUCCUCAUCCCCAGGUCCACCAGUUGCACCAGUCGCACCGCGUGCGCCAUCGCCAGGAUUGCUGCUACUGCCGCCGCCGCCGCCGGCACCGCUACUGCCGCUGUUGCCGCCAAAGUCCCAGACGUUGCCAGCGGCCGGGGCGCCGGCGGCACCUGCAGCGUUCACUGGUGCGGCGGCGGCGGCGGUGAAAUGCCGUCUGGCAGGUACGGAGAACGUGUAUGGGGCGGCGGCGGCGGCGGCGGCGGCGGCGGCGGCGGCGCUACUGCCCGAGGACCGCCAGCUCGGCAGGGCAUCGAUGUUGGGCGGCCGGGCGGGGCUGUAGCUGCUGCUGCCGCCGAGGCCGCUGAAGCCGCUGCUACUGCCAGCCCCGGUCUCCCCAGCGCCUGCCGCCGCGCUACUGCCAUUAGGGCCCCAGGUGCCCAGGUCUCCCGGCGGCCAGCUGCCAGUGUCAGCCUCACCAUCCCAGCCGCCCCAGCCGCCGACGUCGCCGGCGGUGUCGCCGCCCGCCGCCGUUGCAGGCUCACGCGUGCUGCCGCCGCCACCAGCACCUCCACUGCGGCCACCGCCGCCACCAGCGACCAUUCCCUGUGACACGCCCAGCGCGGACCGCAGUGCGCGCACCGCCGCCCGCUGCCUCUCCAGCUCUGAUCGCCUCGCCGCCUCCGCCUCCGCCGCCGCCGCCGCCUUCUGAGCCUCAUAGCGUUGGCGGCUGCCGCCGGGCCUGGCCCCGGCAUUACCGGCGCCGCCACCUUCGUCAGCCCCAUUGCCAUCCUUGCCGGCGCCGCCGCUGUCGGCAGUAGCAGCAGUGGCACCAGUUGUAGCAGCAGUGCUACUGCCGCCUGUGUCGCUGUCGGAGGCGACAGCAGUAACACCACCGCCAGCACCGCCACCGCCACCGGGCUCCUCAGGGACGUCGUCGGCCCACGCGCCCGCUGGCGGCUUGUUGGCCGCCGCCCACUGGUCCCAGCCGCACUGCGCCGCCGCCGCCGCGCCUGCCGCGGCCACUGCUACAGCCUCGGCCUCCGCCUCAGCUACAGCCGCCUCGAGCACCUGCUCUAUGACAGCCUCCGCCUCUGUCGCCACCGCCGCGUCGUCAGGCUCCGUGUCCACGUCAGCCUGCGGCAGUAGCACGUGGCCGCCGCCAGGCCCGCCGACAGGGGCGUCACCAGCGGCUGUAGCAUUGGCAGUAGCAGAGGCCGGGGCUGGGGUUGGGGCCGGGGACGGGGCUGGGGACGGGGCUGAGGCUGGAGACGGGGCUGGGGACGGGGCCGGCGGCGUGAGGUAGGUGCUGCUACUGCCCCUGGCUGCAGCUGCGAUGGGCAUGGGCAUAAUCAUCGACAUGGGCGGGAAAGCACCGACAUCGUGCAGCGCGGGAGGCGGCGGCGGCGGCGGCGGCGGCUCAGACGAGUCCUGGGCGGCAGUCGCCAGCAUCAGUGCCGCCCCCGCCCCCGCAUGCGCGACAGCUGCAAACGACUCGGCGCCGCCGGCUGUGCUACUGCCGCCUCUGCCGGCUUCAUCGUCGCCGCGAUCGUGCGCCCUUGUUGCCCUCUCCGACAUGCCACGUGGCGGCGUGAGCGGCCCCGGGUGUGCGGCUGCAGCAGCUUUAGCUGCAGCGCUGUAGGCUGUAGCGGCAGUAGCACCGACGCUGGCGGCUUGCGGCAGUAGCUCGGGCCACUCCUCCUCGCUGUCCACCGCCCCCGUGUGGCAGUUGACCGCCUCCCAGGCGCUCAGGUCGGCUACAGCCGCUACAGCCGGCGGCGACUCUACAGCCGCCGCCGGUAGCUCUCUGCUGCUACUGCCGGCAUCGUCAAAUAGCCCAGCGCGAACACUGUAGCAUCCGAGUCGGAUGCUUGUCUUGCGCGAUGCCGCCGCCACCUUCUUCCCUUUCCUCUCAGGCGACUGCAGGCCGGCCGCCCCCUCAUUCUCCUCUUCUUCUCCCUCUUCGUCAGCCAGCUGUGCCAGCAUGUCAAACUGGCCCCCGCCCACACGCCAGGCCUCUUGCCGCCUGCUUCCCAUCCAGCCCGCCGCCGCCGCAGUGCCACUAGCAGUCGCCGGGUCGACAGCAGCAGUGCUCAUGCCAAAAUAGGAGCUGAGGCUGUUGCUGAUGGCGGCAGGUGUUGCCGCCACGGCGCCUGUCGACCGCUUCACAGCGAUGACGCCCGCCUUACCGGCCCCGCCUCCCGCCGUGCCGCCGCCAGCGGCAGUAGCAGCGCCGCUACCGCCUUUGUGCCGGGCCGGUGUCACCGGCGGCGCAGCAGCGCCGGCACCAGAGCCCGCCUCUGCUACAGCCGUCUUUCCAUUGCCCGGCUGCUGCUGCUGUUGUUGUUGUUGUUUUGCCGCCGCCAGCUGCUGCUGUCGCGCGGCGUUAGCGGCUGCGUUGACUGCUACAGCCGCCUCUCGGGCGGCUGCCUUGCGUGCCUCGUUGACUGGGCGCUUGAAGGCGGUCUUGCGUACCACGCCGGAGCAGGGCCGGCCGUUGCUCAGCGUUGCGGGGCAGGCGUAGCUGGUCUGUGCGUGUGUGGGUGUUGGCGGGGUAUGCGUGUUGAGGUGGCAGUGGUAACUGCGGUGUGUGUCAGCACGGUUUGCCACGCUAACAUCUGAGGUCGGAAAGGUACAAGGUUGAUCAGAGUCUGACGCUAAUCUCACCGGAAGCGAUACGGACAGGUGGUAUGUGUGUGCGGCCUGCAGUGGUCGGGGGCUAGGUCCCACACGUGCAUGUCACCCACCAGCGCUCCCAGCUCCCACAGCGCCCACACAACCACCCCAACAACAACUGCGGCAUGGCCACAAAGCCCUGUCACAACUCACGCAUUGCGAGGUGUGAUGCACUCCUGUGAGACUCAGGGAAGAAGAGGAAAGGGGAAGGGAAAGCGGAAGGGAAGGGGAUGCCGUUAGGGUCACGACAAGCGGUGGUCGAGGUGACGGGACCUCGCUCCCGGCACCGCGGACGCCCUUUCCUCAUUCCACAACCCAGCCCGCUCCCGCGCAACCCGCCAAACCCCUCUCGGGCUCCUCGCCAAUCUCUCGCAAAACCCCCUCGCGACGCCCCCAACGCACCCUUGCGCCCGGCCGGCCGCUGCCGCAGGUAGGUGGUGACGCACUCCUCGUGAUACUGCCCGCCCGGGCACUUGGCGUAGGUGCAGUCAAGCUCCCUGCGAGGCAUUUUGCAUGAAGAAGGCGCUGAGAAGAAAGAAAUAAUUAGCUGGGCUGAGCACGAGAACUGGCGGCGGGCACGCGCCGGGAGCAUCCCGGUCCCGGAACCGCCCCCAAGUUCGGCGGGUCCCGGUCGUCGCAUCCGGUUGCUCAUUCUGCUUCGCGCUCACCUGUAGUAAUCGUCGUCGGUGACCUGCUUGCCGCAAAGCCCGCAGUCGCCCAGAGCGGCCUCGACGUCCGCUCCCGCCGCUGAAGAUGUCGCCAUCCCGCGCGAUGCCCUCGCGCUCGCUCGCUCGCGCUCUGCGCCCUCCCGCUCACCGGCACCACGUAAUGCGUCUCAUGCAGUCAUGCAGCUGCAACGGUGCUACCAGGUCGCAUGCGAUGUAGCGAAGCAGCGCUAGGGCUGGUGACGGAGCUUGCUUCGUGACCUGGCCGGUCGUGUGUAUCCUGCUGGCUCGCGUGCAGGGCAGGCUGCAGCUGAUUGCGAACACUUGGCGAUUGGAGCAGGGCGGACAAGCGCAGCGGACAAGUGAGGAGAUUACAGUCUGUCUCCAAAUCGCGACCGGCACGCCAUCGCGGCGCCGCGCAAGCAACCGACCCAUGCGCCCGAUCCCGCGGCGGCGGCCCUCCGGGACCCACACCCCUCGCGGCCGCACCGCGCCACUCAGCUCCUCGGUCGCGCGCUCCCUCGCUCGCCCAUUCUUCCGUCCACCACACAUGCACUGCCUGCCGCUGUUGUGGCGCCUCGGUGCCGCCUCAACUCCACAGUCCAGCUCCGCCCGCGGGUCGCGCGCUGCACCUCCCCCUCCACCACCUCCUCCACCUCCUCCUCCACCCAGUCACUCCGCCUCCGCCACCACCUGAGCCAUGGGUGCUGCCGCUGGCCCCCACCCACACACACUUGCCCGCACCCCACCCGGCCGAGGCUACCUAGCACCGCCCCCAUCGCCUCCUCCUUCACCGCCAUUUCUGCACUGCGCUGUUCCUGUAGGGCGGCGCAGGCGGCUAUCUGGCCGCCGCCUCCGCCCCCCCCCCAACUGCCGCCUCCGCUUGCGCCUGUGCCCCCUCCUCCUCCUCCCAAGCCGUUGCAGCCAACGCCCUGCCUCCUCCUCCAGCUCCAACCACCCGCUCCGUUACAGCCGCCGGUGCUGCAGCCGCCGCCGCCGCCGCUACAGCCGCUCAGUCGUUGUAGGAGAAUGCGGUGGUGGGCCGGGCCAGUCCGCCGCCUGCGCCUCCCGGGCCGGCGGGCUGACUGGAGGCUGUGAGGGCCUUCCAGAUGCGGCACGUGUUGUCCUUGGAGCCUGGGGGUUGUGUGUGGGGAGGGGGGACAACAUGGGGAGAAGGUGGGCAUGGCAAAGAUGGUUGGAGAAGGGGGCACGGGCGCGAUGAGGGAGGCGGCUGUGCGGUGUGUGCGGCCGUGCGGGUCCCCCAUCCUACACUUGCUGAUUGCUGCCGUCCGUGGCCCUCCACUACCUAUAAAUGCCUUCCCCCCUGCCCCUCCCUCCCUGGCUGCCUCCGCCUCCCCCUCCUCCCUCCCUCCCUCCCUCCCGCUCCCCCUCCCUCACCGGUGAUGAUGAAGUCGCCCUCGUAGUUGAAGGCGCAGGAGAAGAUCUCGUCCGUGUGGCCCUCCAACACCUGAGGAGGAGCAGGUGGAGGCGGGGGGUCAGGAGGGUUCAGGAGGGUUCAGGAGGGUUCAGAGGGGUCAGGAGGGGUCAGCAGGUCAGGAGGUGGAGGGGGCUGGGCGGGGUAGGUGGGACACGAGCACGCGGAGGGCCCGGUGGGGGUGGGAGGAUUGUCCAGGCAUCACCAGUCGGACAAUGGCGGUGGCCAGCACAGUGGCAAGGCGGCGGCCGAUCCAGCCCCCCUCCAUAUCCCACCCCUCCACAUCCCGCACCGCACGCCUCCUCCCCAGCCCCUGAGGCCGCCCUCCGCCCCAGCUCCCUCCCUCCCCCUGUGCCUGUGCUCCGCUCGUUUUAGCUUGCUGUGUCUUCGUUUGGACUGGUAUUCACAACCCCCCCCCACCUGCAGGCACUCCCCGGUGUCGCAGUCCCACAGGCGGCAGGUCUUGUCCGAGGAGGCCGUGAUGAGCCGGGUGCCCUGUGGGGUGUGUGCGGGGUGUGUGCGUGUGGGGUGUGGGUGGAUGGGUGUGUGUGAGAGUGUGGGUGGAUGGGUGGGUGUGUGAGGGCGUGAAAGGACAACCCCUGUGCGCCUGCCACACCCACACCGUCCAUCUCCUCCUCCUCCUCCUCCCUCCCCUCCCUCCCUCCCUGCCCCUCCCUCUCCCUCCCUCUCCCUCGCUGUCACCUGCGGGUUGAAGGCCACCUUGCUGAUCUCGCCCUCGUGCCCCACCAGGGUGUGCUGGCACACGCCAGUCAGGGUGUGGUACAGCCGAGCACUGCCGUCCGCAGAGGCAGACACCUGGGGGGGGUGGGGGAAGUGGGGUUGCAAGGAUGUUUGGAAAAGCGAUACAGGUUGGGGGUGGUGGCGAAGACGGUGGGGUUGUGAUGAACAUUGCUUCCACACACUAUGGCGUGCACCAACGACUCCCGGGCUUCUCCACUCCGAUUACGCCACUUGCUGGGGCCUGCAUUCCGUCGCCGCCGUGCCCACUCUCCGCCCACUGGCCUCCCCACCGCCCGACAGCCGCUGCUGCCACCGCCCUGCCACCUACUCUCCCGUGCCCCUCCCAGCCCCCUCCCCAGCCCCUCCCCUCCGGCCCUCCCCUCCCGACCCCCCCCUCCACACACACGCACCAUCUUGGUCCCCGCCGCGUCAAACGCCACGUCCAGCACCUCAUCCGUGUGGCCCUGCGCGGGUGAGAGGUGUUGCGUGUGUGAGAGGGUGCGUGAGAAAGGGCGCAUGAGAAAGGGCGCGUGAGAGAGGGUGCGUGUGUGCGCGCACAGGACUGGAGUGGAGCGGUGUCACGCGUGUAACCCCGGUGAUAAUCCCCCGCCCCCGCCGCCCCCCCCUACCUGCUUGACGGACAGGCAGCGGCCGCUGCGCACGUCCCACAGCCGCGAGGUGCAGUCGAUGGAGCCAGACACAACCAGCGUGCCUGCGGGGGGGAGGGGGGCGGAAGGUGGGUGGGUGGGUGGGCGGGUGAGACUCAGGGCUAUAUUUGAGGGUGGGGGAGGUGCCGGUUUGGGUUCCUGGUUUCUUCGUGAGUUCCACACACAUCAGAGCCCCUUGCGCCCCGCGAACCCACGCCUGCCACGCCCCCCUUCCUCUCCCUCUCCCCUCCCCUCCCCUUGGCGAGUGGACGCCGUCGGUCAUCGGUACGCGCGACUGCUGUCUGCUUCGCUACACUUCUCCUUACCAUAUUUGUCCCCCCUAUUCCCCCUCCCCUCCCGUCCCCUCCGCUCCCCUACCCUGCCCCUCUCCCCUCCCCUGCCCCUCUCCCCUGCCCCUCCCCUCCCCCCCUCUCCCUCUCACCGGCGUAGUUGAACUGCGUGGAGGACACCUCGCCGCGGUGGCCCGACAGCACGUGCACGCACUGCCCGGUGCGCACGUCCCACAGCCGGCUGUCGUGGUCGAAGCUGCCCGUCACAAUCAGGUCGCCACCCGUGUUGAAGCCCAGAGACACGAUCUCGGCGCUGGAGGGGUGGAGGGGGGAGAAGGGGGUGGCAAGGAUGGAGGGGGGUGACAUUCAAGAAGCAGAGGCGUAGCCGGGAACAGCAGUAUGUGGGAUGGGGCGGGGUUCCUCUAUCCACUCCUCCUUGCCCAGCCCGCAUUCCGCCCGCACGCCCCCAGGCUCUCCUCUGAUCCCACCACCCGCGACUCCCCUCCUCCACCAUAUUUGUGGAAUCCUACACCUCUGUGUACCACCUUCGCAACCACCCAUAUUCGUGGACGGCACCCCGCCCCGUAAUGUUCCCGCUGUUCCCACUGGACGUCAGCACUCCAAACUAUGUGAUCUAACCACUGCGUCCCCCCGCCCCAGGCCCCCGGCCCCGCCCCCGAUGCUGCCUCCACCUCCGCCGCCCCUGCUGCCGCCUCCCCCUCACCGGUGUCCGGCCAGUGUGGCCCGCUCCUGCCCCGUCUCCACGUCCCCGCCCCUGCUGCCUCCCCCUCACCGGUGCCCGGCCAGUGUGGCCCGCUCCUGCCCCGUCUCCACGUCCCCCGCCCCUGCUGCCGCCUCCCCCUCACCGGUGCCCGGCCAGUGUGGCCCGCUCCUGCCCCGUCUCCACGUCCCCCGCCCCUGCUGCCGCCUCCCCCUCACCGGUGCCCGGCCAGUGUGGCCCGCUCCUGCCCCGUCUCCACGUCCCCGCCCCUGCUGCCGCCUCCCCCUCACCGGUGUCCAGCCAGUGUGGCCCGCUCCUGCCCCGUCUCCACGUCCCCCGCCCCUGCUGCCUCCCCCUCACCGGUGCCCGGCCAGUGUGGCCCGCUCCUGCCCCGUCUCCACGUCCCCCGCCCCUGCUGCCUCCCCCUCACCGGUGCCCGGCCAGUGUGGCCCGCUCCUGCCCCGUCUCCACGUCCCCGCCCCUGCUGCCGCCUCCCCCUCACCGGUGUCCGGCCAGUGUGGCCCGCUCCUGCCCCGUCUCCACGUCCCCGCCCCUGCUGCCUCCCCCUCACCGGUGUCCGGCCAGUGUGGCCCGCUCCUGCCCCGUCUCCACGUCCCCCGCCCCUGCCGCCUCCCCCUCACCGGUGUCCGGCCAGUGUGGCCCCGCUCCUGCCCCGUCUCCACGUCCCACAGCUUGGCGGUGUUGUCCAUGGAGCCGGUGGCGAUGAUGGUGGACUGGGGGUGGUGGGGAGGUAGUGGAGGUGGCGGGGAGGUUUAAGGCGGGAUGAGGAGGUAUACGGAGGUGUGGCAUCAGCCCGGGCGCCUCACACAGCGCCUCCGCCCCCACAGCCUGCGGCCCUCGCCCGCGCGCGCCUGACAACUCCACAGUGUUGCGUCCGCCAUCGCAUUCCGCAACCCAGCCAUUCCCAUUCAACAAUCCAAACCCACCACACACACCCACACGACACGCACCUGGGGGUUGAAGGANNNNNNNNNNNNNNNNNNNNNNNNNNNNNNNNNNNNNNNNNNNNNNNNNNNNNNNNNNNNNNNNNNNNNNNNNNNNNNNNNNNNNNNNNNNNNNNNNNNNAGCUCGCCACCCGCUGCUGCUCGCUGCUGUCGCCCUUGGUGCGGGUACGGCUCCACACCCCAGCUCAACACCCCAGCUCCACACCCCAGCUCCACACCCAGCUCCACACCCCAGCUCCACACCCCAGCUCCACACCCCAGCUCCACACCCCAGCUCCACACCCCAGCUCAACACCCCAGCUCCACACCCCAGCUCCACACCCCAGCUCCACACCCCAGCUCCACACCCCAGCUCCACACCCCAGCUCAACACCCCAGCGGGUAUGCCACGCCAGUCCGUGUUUGGCAGCUCCCCCCUUCCCGCAAUCGCCAUGCCCCCCCUUCCCCUCAUUGCCACGACCCUUCCCCCUCCCCGCCGCUGUACGGCUCCUCCCCCCCUGGCGCUGGACCAGUGGACGCCGAUUGUCAUCGGUAAACGCACCCCUACGGCUGCUGUCUACUUCGCAACACAUCUCUGUGCCAGUAAACAAUGCCCCGCACUCACCACGUUCUUGUGCCCCUCGAGCGUGAAGACCUCCUCGCCCGUGAAGGUGUUCCACACCUGAGCGGCGCGGGCGGGUGGCGGACACACACAUGAGCACUGAGGGGCGAGGGAGCAGGCACGCGUCAGACACGCACCGGCGCACGCACACCAGUCGCGCUGUCGCCGGGCGCGCCGUUACAAGCAGCGGCCACACACCCGCACCCGCACUCACACCCGCAAGACCCAGCCCACUGCUGCUGCUCCUGCCGCCACCAGGCCACCCCACGGCCGCCGCCGCCGCCCGGCCGGACUGGCCCACCAGCCAGCACUGGCGGCGGCCAGCUGCGCCCUACGCGGCCCACUGCAGUGCGGCGCUCCGUUGCCGCUUGCGCCACGCCCGCACGGCGCGACCUGGAGAGUGGCACGGCACGGCUCGGCCGCCUGCCGCCGCCCUGCCCGCCGGCCCUGCUCGUGUUGCUGCCGCUGCUGCUGCUACCCGCCGGGUCCGUGUGCGAGGUGCAGAGCUGGUCGUCCUGAGUGCAGCGUGCUGGGUGCGGCGUGCCUGUUGUCUUCACGGCCUGCAGGAGGUUGCCGCUGCUCCCCACCUGCUCCCCACCUGCCUCUGGUGUCAGCAUCAGUCGCUGCUCUCCCUCCCGCCGCACCACUGUUCACAACGCCACUAACCCCAACUCUCCCACCCCCAUUCCCCUUCUCGCUUCGGCCCCUCCCCGCUGGAGCCUCCCUGCCACGUGGCCCGCCCACCCCCGGCUGCCCCCUCGAACUGGGGAUUCAUGGGCCACGCCUUCCGCGGGCAGCUCCCGGACCGCCCGCCUGGCGCCCCACCUUGCAGGUUCGGUCGUAGGAGCCGGUGAUGAAGCGGUCGCCGCUCUUGUUGAAGGCGCAGUUGGUCAGGGGCAGGAUGUGCGCGCGCAGCACCUGGGGGGGAGGCAAGGAGGGGAGGUAAGGAGGGAGGUAGGGAGGGGGGAGGGAGGUAAGGGGGCCGCGGAGGUAGGGCACGGCGUGUGGCGUGUGGCUUCCGGUGGCGGCGGCGGUAAGCCGUGACACUAAGGCCCCGGACCUGUAACUUGCACACAUGCCCCUUACCCGGUGCCCGGCUGGUCAACGGGUGGUCAACGGCUAGAGUGCUGGACCCAGCCGCGCGUGGCGUGGCGUGGCCGUGGCCCCCACGUACCCCACGCCACGCAACCCCGCACCGCCGCCCCCCCUCCUUGUCCCCCCCAGCCUCCCGCCCCACCUUGAACAGCGUGAAGCUGUGGUGCUGCUGCUCCAGCAUCUUGUCGAUCAGCCUGUGUAUGAGCUGACGCAGCGCUGGCCGCCGGUUCUCGCUGAUGAGCGGCUCCUGACGGAUGAUUUGCGAGAGCAACACCUGCGACCGAGAUGAAAACGCGCUGAGCGGUGCAUGCUGCAUCCUGACCACUCGACAGCCCCCGCCCGCUGCCCUCCCGCCUGCAGCGUUAUGCUACUCGUCCCUGCCAGCCAAUGCGCAUGUGCCCACCUCCACAUCGACGUCCGGCGUCAGGUCCAGCAGGUCGAUCGGCUUCUGCUUCAUUACCCCAUCCCGCUCAUAUUGCAGGAUGAUUCCUGCAUAGCAAGGAGACGAGGCGGCGCGGGUGCUGCAGGCUUCGCACUAGCGCGCAAGGACGCACCGAAGACUUCUCGAAGCCCGGCACGGUGCCGCGGCUGCACACCCGCGUGUAUGCAUGCGCGAUACGCAUAUAUACGUACCCGGAGGGUAGUAGCGGAGCAAGAACUUUCUGAGUUUUGCAGCCAUUUUCAGGAAUCUGCUCGCGCCCGCGACUCCGAGCUUCCAGCAGCCACCUCAAUCACGAUCGCGCCCCUAUUACUAGACACAAAACAGGCAGCCGGCCGGUUGCUGCCUCUGCAGCCGAGCGGACAAAUGGACAGUGAGCGAGCGAAAGGGCCUGGGCCGUCUUUGUGUUUUUAACGCUAUAUAUAAGACACCAGACCCCGUCUGGUCGAGCGGGAACGAAGGUAGGUGCUGUCGCGACGAAAAGGCUCUGCAGUCAGAGUCCUGGAGAAGCAGAGCCUCCUGCUGCUUUAGCUAGUUAGGUAAUGUAUGCGAUUUAUAGCUAUGUACCAUUACACACAUAUGUUUUUGCAGUCUUCUGAUCGGGCACUGCACUUUCAAUGAGCUGCACACCGGCCGAAAGACCCGGAGCGCGGCCGCAUUCGCCUGGUACAUUGCACUAGAUAACUAAUUAAUUGCGACUCACCGACUAGCCAUGCAAACGGACUGACUGCUAAGCUGACUGGACUCUGCAAGCGUUGCUGAACCCGCCUGAAAAUGCAAGUUGCCCACCGGCAAACCGCCGGAUCAUGCCUUCGGUCUCGCUCAGCUACUUCGGGGCGGCGGGCGGUGCCCGUGGCGUCCCAGCGUCCCUCGUCGGCGCGACCGGGCCCAUUGUGCAAGGCAGCCGAGCAGCUGGUUGGAGUGGGUAGCAGUGUUCCCGAGACCUUUUUGACGAAUGAUGACUUGGCUAAGCUCGUGGACACGAACGACGAAUGGAUCGUGACGCGCACCGGCAUCAAGAAGAGGCAUGUGUUGGGCAAGGGCGAAACGCUCGUGCAGCACGCGGUUAUUUCCUCGAAGCGCGCACUGGAGAUGGCGGGUGUGGACGCCAAGGACGUAGAUCUUGUGCUUUUUGCCACCUCGUCACCGGACGACGUCUUCGGCAGCGCUUGCCAGGUGCGGGGCGAUGCCGCUCGAUGGGGCGCGACGCUCGCCAGGCCCCCGCCAUGCGCGAGUUUGGGCAUGUCAGGGCUGCCACUAGACACGCGUAUCUUUCUCCAAACGCCAUUCCCAAUUCGCACGGUGCGCGGUCCCGCGCGAGCGGUGACACACCGUUGACGCGCGGUGGUUGGGGUUGCCGGCUGCCUGCGGGAAGCUGGCCAACGGCACACCGCCUGCGCAGGGCCCGGUGUAUAACGUUAUGCUUGGAGCGAGGAGGGUGCAAGGGGUGCACACGUUUGUAUGCGGUUGCAGACUGCAUUACUGGGCUCAGGUCUAGGACGGUCUGGGCACACCCGGCGUGAGGGCGUUGCUCCGGUCAUGCGGGUUCCGCCCUCCACACGUACACGCCCCAGCGCGGCGGCCGCGUCUAGCGGCGGGUAACCCCUCGGGUACGGGCCUGGUACACAUGCAAGUACACACACUUGCGCACGGCACAACGCACAGACAUCGGCCACCAUAGGACCGUAUACAGCAGGUCGGCUGGUAACGCCUGCCAGGUUUUAGUCUGGCACCCCCCUUACACAUAUACAGUUCUGCGUGUUUUCUUCCCUUGUGCUCUCCAUAACAUCACACAUGCUCACGCACAUGCCCACUCCCACGCCCACACAGGUCCAGGCGGCCGUGGGCGCCUCCAAGGCGGUGGCCUUCGACCUCACAGCCGCGUGCAGGUGCGAGGCGUGUGCGGGGUGUGUGUGGGGCGUGCGUGUGUGUGUGUGGCGGGGGGGUAGCCAUCCAUGGGGGGGCGUGUGUGUGGGGGGGCGGUGUGUUGGGGAGGAGGGUGUGUGUGGGGGGGGCGUGUGGGGGGGGAGGGCGUGUGGUGGGGGGGCGUGUGUUUGAAACAGUAGGAACAUGGGCGGGGGCGUGUGCGUGUGUGGUUACGUGUGGCGUGUUCAUAUGGCGAUUGGGAGCCGGCCGGGACGGCGGUGGGUUGGGGUUCGCAAGGUGGGGCCGACACGCACUGUCGCCAGUCGGGAGGGGGCCGCCCGGGGCGGCGCAUCCCCAUCGGCCGGGGCAGGGUGGCGGGUGGUGUUGGCCUUGUGCCUGCUCCUGUGCGCACCUCCCUCAUCCCCGCGCACUGAUGCACGCGCGGGCUGCAUACAUGUACAUGUACUGCUGAAUCACCCCACCUCACCGCCUCCCUGCCUCACCUCGCCCCACCCGCGCCUCGGCCUUCUCCCUUGGCUCGUUUUGGUUUAGUUUGGGCUGGUACUUACAAACCCCCCGUCCACACCCUCGCAGCGGCUUCGUGCUGGCCAUGGUGACGGCGUCGCAGUACAUCCGGGCGGGCACGUUCAAGUGAGAGACGCCGGGGGUGGGGAGGAGGGGGGUCCAAGGGAGGGAGCGGACAUGGGGUAAAGGGAGACGCAGGAGCGGAGAUGGGGUGGGGGGAGAGCGAGGGCAUGUGUCGGGUUUUGAGGCAGGAUGAAAGGAGCGGGGCCGGCGGGGUGGAGGGCGGGCGUGUCAGGUCGACCUGGCAUGCUGCUGUGCCUAACCCAUCCACUGCACCUCCACCUCCACCUCCCUCUGCGCCUGCUCUACCUGUCGCCCCAACCUGCCCUCACACUGCUCACGGCACUGCCCUAACGCUCCCCCCUCCUCGCGCUGCUGCUCCCCUCUCCCCCCUCCCGCCCUGUGGGCCCUCUGCAGGACGGUGCUGGUGGUGGGCGGCGACGCCCUGUCGCGCUUCGUGGACUGGCGCGACCGGGGUGAGCGGCGGGGGCAGCUGCGGGGGGGGGGGCACCUGGGGGGGGGGAGCUUUGGAGCUGGCGGACUGGGGGCGGGCUGGAUGUGGGGGUUGAGGUUUGUUUCCACCAUCCAUCGCGAAAACAAAACAAAAGAGGUUUGGGCGGCUGUGGGUGGGGCUGGAGGCGUGGGCGGGGCGGCGGGGGGAGGUUGGGCGUGUGGGCAGGAUAGGGACCGGGGCGGGGUGGGUGGGGCGCCGGCUGCGGAAGGGCCGGGCGUGGUGACACAGGGCGUAUCGCGUGGCGUGCAGGCGGAGGUGGGGGAGGUGUGGGGCCACUGGAGGUGGGGGGGGGGGGACAUUGGGAUGAAGCGGUGGCAGGCGGGCGGGUGAGAUGGAUUUUGCGGCCGCAAACCCCCUGCUGACCCGGCGGCGCCCCAUCCCCGGUGCUCCACCUGGCCUGUCACUCAUCCCGCGCCCGCACCCUCGCCUGUCCACUGCCUCACCGCACCCACGCACCCCCUCACUUCUCUCCACACCCGCUCCCCCACUGCAGGGACGUGCAUCCUGUUCGGCGACGGCUGCGGCGCUGUCCUCAUGCGGGCCAACCCCGACCCCGCCGCCCCGCCCGCCAUACUCGGCAUGGACAUGGGCAGCGACGGCGCCGGCCACAAACACCUGCACUGCAUGUUCUCAGGUGCGGGCACGGCUGGGGGGGGGGCGGUGGUUGAGAGGGCGGGUGGCUGGGGGCGUGGGUGGGUGGCUGAGAGGGUGGGCGGGUUGCUGACGGGGUUAGUUCAUUCCCAUCCCAAAAUAAACCAUGGGUGGGUGGCUGGACGGGUUUCCUGGGCUGCUGGGUAUGAUUGGAAGCAGCUGUAAUCGUACCCCUCUCUACUCCACGCUACUCACUGCUUCGAGCCCUUCCCGCCCCGCUGUGUGGCUGUGUCGCCCAGGUGGCGGCCUGAAGCCGCACGGCGAGGGAGAGGGGCCCUCCUCGCACGCCUCCUACGCCAACAUCCACAUGGCCGGGCAGGACGUGUUCAAGUUCGCCGUGCGCACCGUGCCGGCGGUGAGCCGGGGAAAAGGGUAGGGUAAAGCGUGUCAAAACACACACGGUCGUGGUGGGCAGAGGGCGGCCGGGCAGGACGUGUUCGAGGCCGCCGUGGACACCGUGCCGUCGGUGAAGGGGAGCAGGUUUGCCCAGGGUUGAAAGGGGCAGCGCGGGGGAAAGCCGAAGAAAGCGGGGGAACGGGGAUCAGAGAGAAUGGGCGAUGGAGGGGGGUGGCGGCGUGUCAAAUACACGCACGAUGGUGGUGCUCGAUGCUGGCGGCGGGAGCCCGGGCUCGCCAUGCGGCGGAUGGGCCGCGCGGACGCCGCCUGGGGCCGGGCUCCCCCGUGCCAGACAGCCCCACCGUCACACUGGUUUGCAACCGCGCCUUUCCCUCGCGCCCUCCUGUGCAGGUCAUUGACAGCGCGCUAGCCAACGCCAAUUUGCCCAAGGUGCGUGCGGCGCCGUGGGGGCGGGGAACUGGGGCUGGGAGGGGGAGCCGUUCAUGUGGAGAACGGAGUGAUCAAAUAGCGGGGGCAUAGUUUCGUCCGAUCCCAAAGAAAAUCAAGACCACAACCAGCCCACAGAACGCGGGGGUGGCGGGGGCGGGGGCCUGAGGCUGCCUCAUGGGGCGAGGAGUAGGGCUCUCCUAGCCGGGGCGCCGUGGGGAGACGUGCCUGACAGCGUGGCUCUCGGUGCCGCGGCCAGCCCGCGUUGCUAACUCCAUGUGCCGCGUACCGUCGGUCAUCGGUACGCGCAACACCACACCUGCUGCCUACUUCGCUACACUUCUCUGUACAAUCCUUGCAACCCCAUGUGCCGCCACCGCACACCUGCCGCCGCCGCUGUACACCUGCACACCCGCACACCCGCCUCCUCCUCCUCCUGUCUCCGCCCCCGCAGGAGUCUGUGGACUGGCUGGUGAUGCACCAGGCCAACCAGCGCAUCCUGGACGCCGCGGCGCAGGUGGGCGGGGCGGGGGCAGGGAGGAGGAGGGGGAAGUGGAGAGGAGGAAGAGGGGGAGGAGGAGGAGGAGGAGGAGGAGGCGGGGGAGUAGGAGGGGGAGGGGGAGGAGGAGGAGGCGGGGGCGGGAGGAGGCGGGGCGUGUGUGAUAUGCCGGGGGUCAGGGGCAUGUGGGUUGGGAGUGCAGCUGCUCUCCUCCAAUUGCUUGGGUCAGUUCCUCCCGUAUUGGGGUGGCCUCACGGCCCCUUGUGCCUCCUCCCUGGCAACCACACCCACACCCACCCUUCCUGGCACCCCCGGAUCACCCCCUCGCACCCCCGCCCCCUGCCCCCUGCUCCACCCGCCUCCCCGCACAGCGCCUGGGCCUGCCCUCGGAGCGGGUGGUGUCCAACCUGGCCAGCUACGGCAACACCAGCGCCGCCUCCAUUCCCCUGGCGCUGGACGAGGCGGUGCGGGGCGGCCGCAUCCAGCCCGGAGACAAGGUGGGCGGGAGGGGGAGGGGGGAGUGCGAGGGAGAGGGAGAGGGAGAGGGAGAGGGAGAGGGAGAGGGAGAGGGAGAGGGAGAGGGAGAGGGAGAGGGAGAGGGAGAGGGAGAGGGAGCGGGAGAGGGAGAGGGGGAAGCAGGGAGGGGGAGGGGGAGCGGGUGAGAGGGAGGAAAGGGGCUGGUAUAGUCAUCUUGGAGUCUCAAAGUCACCUGGACCCAGAACCCGACCAGCCAGCCCAUGCCGGUAGCCCAUGUUCCCACUGCUCUAACAUCGCAACCCCCCACUUAACUAAUCAUGAAUGUAAACCCCCCCCUCACCACCACCACCACCACCACCACCCGCAGCUGGCCAUGGCUGGCUUCGGCGCCGGGCUCACGUGGGCGGGCGCCAUCGUGCGCUGGGGCUGAUGGGCUGAUGGGCUGAGGGCUGUUGAGCAGGCAGCAGAGGAGCAGGCGGCAGAGGAGCCGCAGGCUGGUAGCAGCAGCGGGCAGCGGAUGGCUUGGAGCAGCGCGGUGGAUUGGAGCCUGGAGUGUUGGCGGGAGAGGAUGGCCGUGCAUCCAGGGAUGGGGAAGGCCUGAGGGGCUGAGGAGCAGGUGGGUAGCUGCUGAGUGUGCGGCCCGGAGGGGGCGGCGGCAGCACCUGCACAGGCGGCAGCGGACAGAGCUGCAGAGCGCUGAUGACCGGCGAGCGAGUCGGCAGGCGGCCGGAGCGACGGGACGGUGGAGCCAGGGACGCGCUGAGCCACGGAGCCACGGACGCAUGGAGCUUGUGGGGUGGGGCCUCGCAGCCCGGGCCGCUUGGCACCACUGGUGCAACUCGGUACAACUUAAAGCGUCGGCAAGCGUUGACACUUUAGAGGCGCGUGUGGGCUUUUAGGCGCUUCGUGCCACAACAAGGGACGCUGGGCGCUGAGGCGGGAUGCGGCAGAAAGGUGUGAACGUUGUGUUUGUUGUGCGCCGGGAAACGUUUUGGUGUGAGUGUUUGUGCCAUGGUGAGUUUCCAAUAUUCGGAUUUCGGGGUGACGUGUUCGCGUGCCUGUUCGCGUGCCGCUGGUGGUGGUUAGGUGGUGGGGCGCAGUGUGUGUGCAGGCCACCUGACUCGAGUCAGGAAAUACUGUUGCGCCCGCAGCAGCCGCAGAGACGAUUGUAACAGGAAAGGACAAAGCUGACCAGAGAUCACUCCCCGUGGGCAUGGUCAAGUCAAUCAGGCGACGGUGGGAUGUUGCGUCAUGCGGUAUCCGGGCGAGGAACAUGCCCGAACAUAGGGCUGCGCGCCAUGUGUCGAGAGGGUUCGGGUUAAGGCAGCUUUCCCCCGGGCUUCUUAGGUACAUGCACCAUCCUCGAGCACAGGGCUGCAGUGCUGCCUGACAGCCUGAGCACAGGCGGGCUCCUCCGGGGGCUUGCUGCUGCGCUGCUGCGGGUGCAGGAGCGGCGCAGGCGGCGCGACGACGACGACGGCAGCGGCAGCAGUCAGCUGUUGGUAUGGACGGACAGGCGGGUAGACCCGUAGUACGUUGGCUACCGUUCUAUUUGCAGUCUGGGAGGCCUCAAGGGGCCCACAGCAGCGUCGCACACACAGCAGCAGCCCUCCCCAGGCAUGCCUGCUGGGGGCUAGCUACGGGGCGCCACCCCUCAACUCGCGAGUCCCUUCCACCUUCCACCUCCUUGAGGAGACCUUGUUGCUGCUCCAUAAGGAUGUGAUGGCUCGGCGUCUUCGGGUGCUGGGACUGUCCCCUCUGUAACAUCCGCAUCCAUAAGGAUGCGGAUUACAAUUGAAGGGACAGCCCGACAAGCGGGGGCACGCUGCUCCAUAAGGCAGAACUAAUGCGUACGUAGUAGACCAGAGCGGAAGGCGGAGUGGGCUUCAGGCGGCGGAGCAGCAGGCACCGUCGGCGGCGCCGGUCCCAGGCCCUCACGGACCCCAGCCGCUGAGGCCACUGCAGGCGCAGCCGGCCAGCUACUGGCCGGGAGCACCCGGAACCGCACAGUGUAGUGCUCGACUUGGCCUUCACGGCUCUACGUCAUCCGCCCCCGCUGAACUCCUAGCAACUCAUCAAGGGCAUCGCGGGAGGCUGCCGUGCAUCAGUGCAUGGCCCAUGACCUCCUGCUGCUGCAUCACCUCCUCCUGUUGUGUGUGGGUACAAGGUGGCGCACUCGACGUGCUUUCCUGUCCUCAAAGGAACCGAGCCCCGAGCCGGGGGGGGGGCCUUACAAUGCCCGCUGGCUUCCUCGGCUUCGCAUUGUUAGUCUUCAAGCAUCUCAUCCGGGCUGGUGAAGGGAAGAGCGCGCCGCCCCUGUUGGCCUGUUGGACUGGUGGAGUGGGGGGAGACCCACACCGGCAGCACCACACCGGCACACAACCUGCAAAGCGAGCAAGCAGAACACCAGGGACCACCGCACAAGCCACCGAAACCCAAGGGCACCCCUCCGGGGCAAAGCAAGGGCAGACCGGGGGCCCCCAAAAAGGCGAAGCAACCACCAAACUCACAUAACAGAGCACGACAAACAAAAGAAGGAGAAGCACGGACACCCAGCACCAAGCCUAAACCACCGCGAGAACGGGAAACCACUGCAGGUACACACGCUUACCCCCGCACCACAACACUGCAAACCGGGCCCUGGGUCCCAAGCAGGCCAGGGAACACAGGCAGCAGCUACCCGACCGCCACGCCCGCACGCUGAAUCAAGCGGCCGCGCAAUCCGACCCAGCAACAAAGCAGUCCAAAGCGACUACACGGCAACCACUGCAGGCGCACGACCACGCGCAGUCACACCCGCUCCCACCCGCAGCAAACCGGGGCACGGGCCCCACGCAAACCGGGGCACACGGGCAGCAGCCAACUGACCUCCACAACAAAGCAGACCAGCUACCGCACAGGAACAACUGCCGGCGCACGAUCAAGCGCACGCACGAACACGCCACCAAACCAGGACAGCACACUAGGAAAGCCCCGCCCAGAGCGCCCGCGCACCAACUCCGCAUCCGCGCGCGCCGCGACCUCUAGCAGCUGCGGCAUCAGGCCCCGAGGGCACACGGGAGGGCCACCGUCUGCCACCCAUUCCCGCUCCCAGGCGCGGACGUCCCCACGGAGGGACCUCAGGAUCAGAGCGCGCCCAGUGCCACGACAGCACACCGCGAACUGAUCACUCGCAUCCCACAGUACCUGUUGCAGGACCGCCUCAAAGGUAGUGCCGGGGCUGGGGGCCUCAUCGUGGUCAGCCAGCAAAGCCACGACGUCCGCCGCAGGAUGGUCCCGUAGUCGCACUCGCCACCAACCAUUUCAGGGUCCGGGCCCACGCCCGCCGCCCCAGCACCACCGCCGGGCUCGCCGCCACCACCGCCAGACGGGCCUCCUGCAGCUGCUCGCACGCCCAGCAGCGCCGCCGUCCGCUCCAGCCACCGAAGGCGACGGCCGCCGCCCAGCCGGCGGCAUUAGGAAGCCAGCCCGCAGGCCAGAGCCCACGGCCGCGAUGGCGCGGGUGUCCGCGCGCUUGGCGGCAGGGGCCUCAUCAUCGAGACCACCGGCUUCCUGAGGGCCACACCGCCCCAAAGCCGACCGAGGAUUCACCAGCAUGGCGGCAGGCCCGCCGGCGCCGCCAGGAGGUGGUGAAGUGGUGGCGCCCCCCGGGAGCGGCGGUGGCGGCGGCAGCGGCGGCGGCAGUGGAACGGGCGGUGCUGGCGGAAGCGGCGGCGGCGGUGGGAGCGCAGGCGGCACGGCCGCCGCCGGCAGUGGCAUGGGUAGCGCCGGCGCCACGGCUGCCUUCCGCCGGCCUCGUUGAGCCUCGUCGGAGCGCGCUGAUGUCGGGGGAGGCGAAGACGGGCGCCCCUCCGUCCUGCGGCAGCGGUGCUGGCACGGGCGCGGGCGCCGGCUCCACCUCGUCCAUGUCGGCCGGCCCCGCCACGCACCCAGGCCGCCGCGCCAAUGCCCGCGCGCGGAGUGCCGGACCGCGCCACCGCAUGUACCCGGACCGCCAUCGCCUGCGGGCCGGGGCGGCCGCGCGCCACGCGAGCACAGCAGGCUGGCGCGCGACGAGCGGGCGCCAGGCAGCUGCGCACACCAGUGCAGUGCCGUGCUGGCACAACCAGCUGUCCGAUGGCACCUGAAGUCGCAGAUGCCAGCCGCCGUCGCAGCCAUUUCAAAGCAGCAUCUGAGGCGCAUUAUUGUCGGCUUUGCGUCACACCUCGCAGCACUGCGCUUCUGGCGUCCAGCACACCGAGGAGCCAACUAAACGGUGAGGCAGCCAUCAGUAUCGGGUACGCGCGAUACGCCUCGGCCAGCCGGCCGUCGCGCGCCACCAGAGCCAGCCACGCCCCCAAGCGGCCCAGCAGACCGCACACGCCGCACCUCGAAUGGCUGCACAAACCCAGUCGACUGCCCGGCGGGCUGGCACUGGAAGACGACGUAGCUACCCCUCACCAAAGGCACCACUGGGCCGGGCGGGCGCGGGCCCGCCGCUCCCAGCCCCAGGCGGCACGCGCGAUGGCAUCGGCGGCUGCGGCCCAGACAGGGGGCGGCGGCAGCUGCUGUCUCGGCGGUGGCUGCUGCAGCUGCUGCUGCUGCUGCUGCUGCUGCUGCUGCUGCGGCUGCUGCUGCUGCUGCGGCUGCUGCUGCUGCUGCCGCUGCAGCUGCUUCGGCCGUUGCGGCUGGUGUGACUGCGGCGGCGACUGCGGCUGCUGCGGCUGCUGCGGCUGCUGCGGCUGCUGCGGCACCGGCAAGGGGGAUGGAGAGGGCAGAGGAGGCCCACGAGCAGUGAAGACUAUCGACGUGCGUUGCGGAACUAAUGCGUACGUAGUAGACCAGAGCGGAAGGCGGAGUGGGCUUCAGGCGGCGGAGCAGCAGGCACCGUCGGCGCCGGUCCCAGGCCCUCACGGACCCCAGCCGCUGAGGCCACUGCAGCCGCAGCCGGCCAGCUACUGGCCGGGAGCACCCGGAACCGCACAGUGUAGUGCUCGACUUGGCCUUCACGGCUCUACGUCAUCCGCCCCCGCUGAACUCCUGGCAACUCAAGGGCAUCGCUGGAGGCUGCCGUGCAUCAGUGCAUGGCCCAUGGCCUCCUGCUGCAUCACCUCCUCCUGUUGUGUGUGGCUACAAGGUGGCGCACACGACGUGCUGCUUUCCUGUCCUUCUAACUAACCUAGGCCCGAGCCGGGGGGGGGCCUUACAAUGCCCGCUGGCUUCCUCGGCUUCGCAUUGUUAGUCUUCAAGCAUCUCAUCCGGGCUGGUGAAGGGAAGCGUGCGCCGCCCCUUUUGGCAUGUUGGACUGGUGGAGUGGGGGCAGACCUGGCUGGGCAGACUACACAGUGCAAACGCACUGCCGGCGCAGGGUAGAUGUGAGCGGGCCCCCGUUCCUGGGCCCAGGCGAGGCCGUCCCUGUGAUGGCUGGGGGGGGGGGGCCUUCAGGGGCCUUCGCGGGCCCAGCAAGGGCCGUGUCAGCUUUCGGCGGCCUGCUACUCGGGAACGCCACGCCCUCCUUCCAGCUUGCAGCUGCAGUCGACAGGCGCGGCUUCCUUGCGUAUGCGCAUUCGCCGAGGUACGGGAGAGGGGAGGGGAGUUGUCAAGUAAGGAAGCACGUUGGACGUGUACGCGCCAGCAUACCCUAAGCACGCCACGGGCAUUGAGCACGGCAAAGGCACGUUUUAGCAGCAUUGAACGAUGCGCAUAUCUGCGUGCCUAUGCCUCGCCAGAAACUCGAGGCUGACGCCACUACUUCAUGCGCGUGUGUAAUGCGCCGGCGCGCUGCCGCGAUGGACUCGUGGGCCGCGAACUUGACUCCCCGUCGCGCCUUACUUUCCAGACAUAUAUAUAUAUCAAGACGCUCUGGAACUGUAAAGACACAAGUGUAUCAGAAACAACCUCACUGUCGCAGACUAUGCGGCCGUGACACUUCGUCGGAAAGAACACUGCCGACGAACAGAUAGCUGCACUGUUUCUCACGCGUCGCGUAGCCAGAGCAACGAAUGCUAACCUUUCACACCUAGUGCAGCUUCUGUUGUGGGACGCACGGCGCCCCCAGCCAACGAUGGACGACGCCGUCUCCAGCGUACCGUAUCUGGACAAGUUAAAGCGACAGGAAUGCGUUCAAAGGAUGUAAGGAAAAAAGCUGGUGCUCUUGCACGUACUGCGUGCGCGAGAAGCAUCGCGGAAGGCCACUGCAAAACUUUACUCCUUUUGCUCUAUUUCAAUGUGCAGUGCAAAGGAGCUUGCGCAAGUCACGAAAGCAGACGAGGGCGAGCUGCUGGAAGCGGUGGCUGGAAUAGAGCGGGAGGUGUUUCAGCAGUGCCAUAACAUCGUAAGUCUGUGCUAUGUUAUAUCGCACGUAAAGUUGCACCAUAUGAAUCAAGACAUACUGCAAUAGAGCGUGGGCGUGCUGUGUGCUCUGUUUGCCAGCCGAGCAAGCUUUCGCCACCUGUUUUAGCGUGUGCCAUAUUGAAAGGGAGACACAUACUUGCAUCAUUUGAGAGGACAUGAAAUGUUGUGCUUCGGUGUUCGCCAAUCGAUUCGUGUUUUACGCCUAGGACCCUGUACUUCACUCAGUAUUCAGACAUGUGAUAGAAGCUGACAGGAAGGGCUGCUUCAGGACUGGGCGCAAGCUAUCGGAGCUUCUUAGCGCAUGUUUGAACCCUAGAAGCCUGUUUUGGCCACCAUCCGCAGCUUGCGCGCAUGUGGGGUCUACGCAUCGUUUGCGGUGUGUUGAGUGAUAGGAAGUUCUCCUCGGGUAUAUAGGCGUCAAGGGUUGACGGGGGCGGCACGGGAACGUGCCCAUAUGCUGUUCGUGGCGUGCCGAAGCCCUAGCUAUUCGUUCGCCGCUGCAGCCUGCCGCGUCGCAGCCGUACUGUGGGGCUCACGGACACGCGAACUGCAAAACGACCAUCAGGUCCGCCCCAGCUAUGCUGACUUGGUACUGAGCGCGUCACGUCACUGUCUGGGUGGCAGCUUUGCAACGAGCUGUGACGCCAACGCACACGACGUACGCGCACGGCGCGAGCGUUCCCUUGCAUACCUGUUGGGCGGUAGAUGGUGAGGAGCAAGCAGGUAGAGAAGCAGCAGCCAUGCCUACCUCUGGCAGCAUGUCGCUCGGCGUCGUCAAUGAUUGCCUGGCGCUGCUUGGAAGUUUGCCUGAAGAGAGCGCAUGUGCCUGUGGGAAAAGGGCAGGAGUUGCACAUGCGGGGGCGGGGGGGGGGGACGACCCGGUGCAUGCGUGUCACACGCGCGCAUAUACGCACGCAUGCAGCUGGCUGACAAGUGUUACCAGUUCAUUUAUGCGGGUGAUCAGGAACUCCCGGGAAAAGGUGAAACAUGCAAAGCCCAACACACAUGCAUUGCGUGCUGAGUAGCGGAUGCCUGGGAUUGCUUGCAGCAGCCGUAUCCACACACUCAUCGCAUACAACUGGUUCAUUGAGCCUCUGCUGCCUUUGACUGUUGGCUGACAUUGUACAUAUGCCUAGCAAAUGGAUUUAUCCGCACAAGAAUGUUUACCAGGUUGCUUUUAUCCGAUUGCAGUAAUCCCUUGCUUGCAUACAUAUUCUUGCUUCACCCAGAGGAUUUGCGCCGUAUGUAAUAACCGACCCACGCACAUCAUGUGUUGUUGCUUUAUUUGACGCCAACGUGUUCUGCCUCGUGCCUGCUGCUUAUUGUCUAUCCGUUCUUUGAUAAUUCUUGCAGGGGCAAUACUUCCAGGAGAUUGGAACCCGUGCCACAUUCCUGCGGCGAGAGCUGAUCAACCAGAAUGCGGAGACGGUGGUGGGAGGUGAGGACCGUGCGCGCGUGCGUGCGUGGCCGUGGCAUGCAUGCGCAUGCAGGCAGGCGUGUAUGCAUGUGGCGUUAGUUGGUGGUUGGUUGGUUGUGCGUGUGCGCACGCCUGAUGAUUAGAAGUGGGUCUCAAGUCCACUGACACGACCUAGCAGCAGGUCAAGAGGCGGCAUGACAAGCCAAUCUGUCUCAGCAAAUAGCCCUGCGGCUGCAUUAAGGCAACUUACUUGCUUACUUGGCCGGAACACGCCCGCUAGCCCUGGCUCCACAACACUACACGUAUGUGCACGGUCGUCAUGAUAUGUAUGACAUAAUGUUGCAGGUAAUGAGUGUGUUACUUGCAUUUCCCUGCACGCACAGAGACGGACCCGGCGGCAGCGUUAACGGCAGCCGCAGCGGCCUCUGAACAGCGGCAGCAGCCGCCACACAUCCGGAAGCAGCCGCCCCGUAGGGCGCGGGAGGUGGCGGAGGCGCGGCGCGGCGCGAUCACUGCGGCGUUGCGGGAUGAUGAUGACUACGGGCUGCUGCUUGAGGAGGGUGGAGGCGGCGGUGGCGGUGGCGGCAGUGGCGGGCAGGCGGCGGGGCAGGAGCGUGCAGCUGGAGGCGGAGGGCAGACCACUGGCGGCGGCGGCGGCGGCAACACGCGGGUAGGUCAUCAAACUACUAGCUAGCAAAACGACGCACGCAACCAACAUGCUGGAGUGGAGCAUUGUGAUUAUAAUUGAAGAGGCAUUGCUUGCUUGUUCCAGCUCUAUCUGCAUUAUACUGCAUCCGAUGGAUGGGGGGAUGUUGUUGAUGUUUAUAUAUGCUGCGAACGUACAUACGUGUUGACCUAUCUAGCUGCAUACACGCACGGGCUCCUGACAUGACUCGCGAUGCAUGAUGCACUCGUGUACCGCAGGCGGCUGCCUCGGGAGGCGUGCAGCAGCAGCAGCGGCAGCAGCGGCAGGCGGCGGCGGCGCCGGGGCAACAGGUGGGUGUCCGCGGACGGCAGCGGUGUGGCGGGCCUGAUGACUCCACAUGCAUAUAUGCACACACACACGCGCACAGGCGCACACAUGCACAUAACACAAUCAGGGAUACAUUCAGCGUACCCAAUUUUUCUAUCCCAGCAAUCGGCUACCCCAACCUCGCCUUGAGUCGCUGAAGGGUUAGAUAGGUAGAAGGAUGCAAGGUGGGUGUAGCACGUCAUCAUGCACACGCGCCGGCUGCAUGGAUUCAAAUGUCAUGCGUUCGAAGCGGACCAAUCAAGCAUGUACGCCCACUAGGUAUAUAGAUGGGGCCAAGUUGGUAGCUUGGUAAUGUACGGCGGUACGGACGGAUGUGACUGGCUGUUUAUGUACGGUAAUGGGAUUAUUGCAUGUUUUCAAAUUAUGUAGAAGCAUGCAUGUAGUAACUGUGUGGCGGUGACGGACUGUGGAUGCUAAUGUGGAUAUGGUCGCAAGUAUGAUCGUGCACCGCGGCUCGCUUGCUCACUGCCUGCGCGCCUAGUAUUCGCUCACACAUACAUGCCUCCCUGUUACCAUACCUGUGCAUGCAUGUGCAGAACCGGGGAGGUCACCAGGCACCCCCGACGGCGGCGGCGCACCUGCAGCAGCAGCAGCAGCAGCAGCAGCAGCAACACCAGCCCUGCGACUCCGGUGAGGGCUCCUGCACCGCGCCUGUGGGCGCGGCGGCAGCGGCGGCGGUGGAGCGCGACGGCGCAACCUCCCCAGGAGCCGGCGCCGCCGCUGCAGGGGUUGCUGCAGUCGUGGGCGGCGGCGGCGGCAUGCACGCAGCCGCCGGAGCCAGGGCUGCUGCCGGAAGUGUAGAUGGGGGUGUUGAGGGCGGCGGCGCCAGUGGCGGCGGCGGCGGCAGCGCGUCGCUAGGUGCGCCGCUGCCGAUGCUGGCGGCGGCAGGCGGCAUGUCCGCGCCCGCUGCUGACCUGUGGCCGCUGGCGGCGCAACAGCAGCACCAGAUGCAACAGCAGCAACAGCACCACCAGCACCAGCAGCAAUCCCUGCAACAGCUGCACGCCCAACAACUGCAACAGCAACAGCAACAGCAACAGCAGCAGCAGCAGGGGCGCGGGCUGGUGCUCCGCAGCAUCACGGACGUGCGUCAGGCGGGCGGCGGGCUGCCGCUGCGCCUCACGGCCGUGUCGCGCCGCGCCCCCUCACCGGCGGCAGCACCUGCAGGCAGCGCCGCAGAACACGAAGCAGGUGGCUCGCCUGCGGCUGCUGGUGGUGGUGGUGGUGGUGGUGGCGGCGGCGUCCUUCACCCGCACCCGCACCCGGUCUCGCACUUGAACCCGCAGCAGGCUGGCGGCGCCGGCGCCGGCGGUGCGGGGCCGGGCUCGUGCUCGGGCUCGCCCAUGCAUGCGUCCGCGACAGUCGCCGGCGGCAACCCGCACCCGUUUGCUGCGAGCCGUAGCAACUUGGGCCAGCAGCAGCAACAGCAGCAACAGCAGCAGCAACAACAGCAGCACCAACAGCAGCAACAGCAGCAGCAGCAAACCUUUGCUGAAGUUUCGGGGCAGGGGCGCAUGCCCAUUUCGCGCACCGUCAGUUCGCCCGCCAGCGGCACCUCACACUGGGUCCAGCAGCAGCAGCUGCGGCAGCUGCAGCAGCAAACCUUUGGAAGCUUCGGGGCAACUACUGGGUCGUCUGCGGGCGGCGGCGGCACAGCAGCAGCACAGCAGCCCUACCUCGCUGGCGCCAUGCAACAACAACACCAGCAGCAGCAGCAGCAGCAGCAGCAGCAGCAGCAGCAACAGCUGAGUUUCUCUCGCAUGUCAAGAGGUGGCCCGACGGCGCGUGCUGGUGGGGCGGAAGGCGCUACCGCCAUGCCAUCAGCGGCCGCCGGUGACGGCGUGGCACCCAUGGCCAUGGACGAGGGCGGCGGCGCCGCAGGUGGGGGUGCAGGCGGCGGCAGCGGCAGCGCGGCGCACGGAGGCGGAGGAGGAGGAGGCGGCGGCGGCGGCUCGGCAUCCUGCGCCGUGAGCGGGCUGGCGGCGGUGUCAGAUGCACUCAUGUCCGACGCGGCGCCCAGCGGGCAGCACCAGCACCAGCAUCAGCAGGGCCCGGCGGGCGCGAGGCCAGCAGCAGCAGCAGCAGCAGCAGCAGCAGCAGCAGCAGCAGUCAUGGCCCCCGCGCCGCCGCCGGGCCGCCCGCCAAUGGGGCGGCCGCUGAGUCUGCGGCUGGCGGUGCCGCCCGCGCCCGUGGACGAGCCGGGGGGUGGUGGCGGGGCGGCGGGGCCUUGCGCGGCUGCCGAGGUGGGUGGUGACGGGUAAUGAACGCUGAUGCGGCCAGGACAGGACAGGUCACGCGAGGGCUGGUAAUAAUCACCAUUAGGCCAGUGGAUUAUUUCCUUCCGCGCACAAACACUGGGUGUCGUAUGUCUUUGGCAUGCUGCUUGUAAAUCGCUUAUGGCCGCAGCGUCAUCACAAGUUGAGUACCGCUCGCUUAUCCGGUGCAUCCGCCUCGCUACGUGUUUAUUUGCUUCACAUGCAUCUCCAAUGAAGUUCCGCCCAACCCGGCCCUCUGCAGGCGAUGGACGAGGAGGACGCGGAGCAGCAAACCCAGCAGCAGCGCCUCGGGGCUGUAGCGACCGUGCCGCCCUCAGCCACCGCUGCCGCUGCAGCUGGCGGCGGCGGCGGCGGCGACGACGGGCCGUUGUUUCCGCCGGACCGGUUCGCGCAAUGCGACGAUCCCAUGGCCCUGCUUCACGAGCUGCUGCCGGACCUCAUAUCGCCGGCUGAGGUGCGUGCGACGAGUGCUGCGCGCGCUGCAUGCAGGCUAUGUGUGUGUGUGUGUGUGUGUGUGUGUGUGUGUGUGUGUGUGUGUGUGUGUGUGUGUGUGUGUGUGUGUGUGUGUGUGUGUGUGUGUGUAUAAAGAGCACAAGGAAAACAUUGCGCAAAGACAGUGUAUGCGAUGCCCGCCCUGCUGUGUAUGUGUAUGUGUGUGUCGGGUUGGGCGCACAUGUAGCACACACAUGCUCGUACACACACACACACACACACACACGUAUACACGCGCGAUGCACCUCCCCACCUGCUGGCCCCAUUCAUCUGCCCGCCCGCCCGCCCGCCCUCCUUUCUGCAGGACACGUACGCGCGCGGCGAGCGCGUCAGGGCCUUUGACCCGCCGCCGCCCACCAUCCUGGAGGGUGUGGAGGUGGAGAUCGACGACCUGCUCACGCCGCAAGAGCUGGCACAGCAGGAGCAGCAGGAGCAGCAGGAGCGCCGCCGCCGCCUGGCGCGCGAGCAGCACCAGCAGCAGCACCAGCAGCAACAGGGGUUUGUGGUCAUCCGGCCGGCGGCCCUGGCGACGGCUUUUGCGCCGCUGGUGUCGAGUGGCGAUGCGGCUCUGCUGGGCUCUGGUGUGACCGACGGCGCGGCGGCGGCAGGCGGCGGCGUGGGCAGCGGGUUGAGCUCGUUUGCGUCUGCGCCGCUCCCGGAGCUGGAGCACAGGCGCCAGCUGCUGCUGCAACAACAACAACAGCAGCAGCAGGGGCUUCAGCAAUGGCAGAGGCUGCUGGUAGCGCCGUCGCACUGGGGUGCCGCGAGUGCUGCUGCAGGCGCAGGCGCAGCAGCAGCCAGUGAAGGGCUGCUAUCUGGCGGUAGUGGGGACGGUGGCGGUGGCGGUGGCGAGGAGGACGCAGAGCAGCUGGCCAUGAUGCGGGUGAGUGAGCAACGAGCGCGAGAGUGCUCUCUUACUUGUUAUCUGGUUAUCGGGUAUGCGUCAGUGUGUAUGUGUUGGCAGUAUGUGUAUGUAAUGUAUAUGGCUGUGGUGCGGGGCAUCGGGGCACCGGCUUACCCGCACUAGGGUGCUGGAACGGCAGUGUACGUGUGUCUCAUGUGCGUGUGUGUGUGUGUGUGUGUGUGUGUGUGUGUGUCUGUGUCUGUGCGCAGCCGUGAGUGCAGCCGUCUCUUCGUAAGACCUGCAUACAUCCACACGGCAGGCUCCAUUCCCCCUAGCUGUGAACCAUGGUCGUGUCUUGCUUGUUCUGGGUCAUGCAGCCCAUGCACGCAAGCACUGGCACAUGGGCAUGUAUGGAGCGUCUGUUGACGUGCGGCCUUGGUGACGUACAUGCGUGUCUUCCUGCGUGCACAUAAAUAUACACACACGCACGCACUGCGCAAUGUUUUCCUUGUGCUCUUUAAAACACACACACACACACUCCUCUGCAUUCACCUGCCGCAGGCCAAGUCGCCACGUGCCAGUGUACACGCGCGCUCGCCCUUCCUGCCGCAAGCGGAGGAGGCGGCGGCGGCUGCGGGCGGCGCGGAGGGCGCGGGCGGGCGCGGUGCAGCUGUGCGCGACUUCGACCAGUUCGCGACAAUGAAGGUGCGUGCGUGCGUGCGCACGGUGUGUGCGGUAUUGCGUGCGUGGACACGUGAUCUGCGCAUGCCAGGCCUUGUGCAAUGUCUACCGCAUUAUUGCUUGCUGAUUUGGUGCGUCAUGUCUCAAGGCGAGGUAAUAAUCCCAUUCUCACUGCCUCUGCUCCUCCGUCUCGAUCGCCGCCAACAGGCCCUCACUCGCAGCCAUACAGUCGGCGGCAGCACCGGCGCAUCGGGGGCAGAGGCCGCCGCCGCCGCCGCCGCCGCAGCGGUGGCCGCCGAGCUGGCAUCUGGGGGUGGCGACGGCGGCGGCGGCAGCGGCCGCGGGCGUCCGACCGGGGUGUUUCGAAACCUCACCAUGCCGCCACGGCUCGACGGCGGCGGCGGUGGCAGUGCGGGCUGGGACCAGCCUGCGAUGGGCGGCGGCGGCGGCGGGCCGGCAACAGGUGGGGCAGGGGCAGCAGGCGCGGCUCCGCUGGGCGUGGCGACGGCGGCAGGUGGCGGCGGCGGCGGUGCCAGUGAGGCGUUCCUGAGGAGCAGCUGGAGUGCGGGCCAGAACGCUGCGGCGGCGGGGCGUGUGGGCUCGGCCGCGGCUGCCGGCAGCAGUCAUGCAGCCGCCUACUAUUACAUGUCCCCUGAUGGCGGUGGUGGUGGCGGCGGCGGUGCCGGCGGCGGUGCGGGCACUGGCGGUCCGGUAGGGGUGGCCGGCAACGCCACGAUAUCGCGGCUAGCGAUGGCGGCGGCGGCGGGCGGCAACGGUGGCGCGGCGGGCGCGGCGGGCCUGCGAGGCAGCUGGAGCGCCGGCGACUCCAUGCCGCCGCCGCAGCGCGCACCAGGGGCGAUGGGCACGCAGCAGGCGCCGCUGCAGCUGCAACAACUCCCUGCCGCCUACAUGUACCAGCAGCAGCAGCAGCAGCAGCAGCAGCAGCAGCAGCAGCGCCCGCGUUUCCAGGCCGCCGCCGGCAACACGGCCGGCUCGCCGGGCCACAUGGGUGUGGGCAUGCUCGCGCCCGCGCCCUCGCCGGCACAGUCGCCGCUCUUUGGGCAGCACCCACAGCAGCAGCAGCAGCAGCAGCAGCAGCAGCAGCAGCACAUGUUUGCGCGCCCGCAGAAUCGCCCACAGCAGCAGCAGCAGCAGCAGCAGGUGGUGCGGCCUCUGGGACAGCGCCCGCCGCCGCCGCCGCCCCUGCGGCUGGACGUGAGCGGCGGCGCCUUCGGCCACGGCGGCGGCGGCGGCGGCUCCCACUCCACCACGCCCAGCCCCUCGCCGUACGGCAGCAGUGCGGCGCCGUCACCGUACGGCCUGUUUGGCAACAUGCAGGUGCGUGGGGUCGGUGCAUUGCGGUUGGCGUUGGCCUAGAUAUGUACGUGUUUGCCCGCUUGGAUGCUGACUGGUGCCAGUGCGGCCAGUUGCACCACGCAUGUGCCGACUAUGCUGGCUUUGGCGUUCCGGCGGGGCCCCAUCUUAUUCCUCCCUUUCCUCCUUCUUGGCUUCCUUCCUUCUUGCCUCCUGCUGCCUCCUCUGCCCGGCAGGGCCUGUCGCUGCAAGGGCAAAGCGCCGCGCCCUCGCCUGUGGGACCAGGCCCCGCCGUCAGCCCCGUGGGCGGCGGCUUCGAAGUCUUCUCCUCGCCAUACCAGCAGCAGCAGCAGCAGCAGCAGCUGCACCUCCAGCAGCAGCAACAUUUCCAGCAACAACAACACCAGCAGCAGCAGCAGCAUCUGCAACAGCAGCACUUGGCUGUGGCAGGCGGCAGCAGCCGACCUGACACGCCGGGAUCCGCGCCCGGAAGCCUCCUCUACCCCCAGCAUUCACCGCACCAGCAGCAGCACCAGCACCAGCACCAGCAGCAACUGUCCCCGUGGGGCUCAGGCGAGCAUCCCCUGCAGCUGCAGCAGCAGCAGCACCAGAUGCUGCAGCAGCAGCUGCACCCCCAGCACCCGCAGCAGCAAGGCACAUACCUCUCCGUCACCGCUGCCGGCGGCAGUUUUCAGCAGCCCCACCCGCAAACGUUUCAGAUCCACAGUCCCCAUGGCCACCACGGCCACCACGGCCACCACCAUCACCACCAGCUCGCAGGCACCGGCGGCGGCGGCGGCCGCCUGCUGCUGCAUGGCGGCGGCAUGCUCCCUUCCGUUCCCGAGUCCUCCCCCGGCCCAUCCGGCGAGGAGGGCGGCAACAGCAACACCACCUCCGCCAACACCGGCGGCGUUUCCAGCAGCGGUGGCACGGGCGGCAACCCGGCGGGCUCCAACACCACGGGCAGCGGCAGCGGGACUGGCAGCGGAACCGGCAGCGCCGCCGCCGUGUCUCUGAAUCGUGGCAUGGCGGGCGGCACGCCGCUCGGCGGCAGCAGCAGCAGCCCCGGCGGCGGCCCCAGUGCCGGAAGCGGCAGCCGGAUGGUGGCUGCCAGCAGCGGCGGCGGCUUCGGCGGCUCGGCUGCGAGCGGUGGCGGCGGCCGCAGCCUGCUGGGCGGCCUGGCGCUGCAGCUGCAGCUGGCCGGCGGCGGCGGCGGCGGCGGCGGUGGCGGUGUGGGCCUGCUAGCGGCAGGUGGCGGAGUCGGGGGCGGGGGCGGUGGUGGGGACAUGACGCUGGAUGAGAUGAUGGUGCCGGACGUGAUGGAGGAGGGCGUGCAGGCCGUGAUCGCGGGGGAGGACACCGAGAUGCUGGAGCAGGAGGUGAGAGCGUGUGUGUGUGUGUGUGUGUGUGUCGUGUGCGUGUGUGUGCGUUGCAUGCACGCGCGACGGGCAUGUGCACAUACAGGGCGUGUCGUGGUGCUGGGGGGUGGUCGGAGGGUGGCGGCGGACACAAGUGCGGAGAGAUGAUGAGGCAGGCCGCCAUGCAUUGCCCACCGCCGUGCCCGUGUGGGUAUGUGGUCUGUGGCCCCGUCUGACCAUCUCCUCCCUCCCUCCCGCUCGCUCUCCCGCCCCUUUCCCUCCCUCUCGCCCCUCUGUCAGAUCCUGGCCGAGUUCCAGAUCACACCCACCUCCGACAUGCCGCCGCCGCCCUCCGACCCCUACUUCCCAGUGCCCCUGCGCCGCCAGCAGGGAUAGCUGGCUGUACCAGCCGCGGUGGCUGUAGCUGGUAACAGCAGCAGCAACAGCAGCAAUAUGUAGCGCAGGAUGGCUGUAGCAGUACCGCUGGGAAGCUGUUGUGUCAAGUGUUGCAGCCGCGUGGCGGCAGCUGUAGCACGGUGGCUUGGCGUACGGUUCGUGCCAUCGCCUCCUGAAUAAUUCAUGCUCCCUGAUCCAAGCGGUGCUGGCUUUUGAUGAGCUCCACGCGGCGUUGGCUUUGCAGCUGUUGCCAUCAGCAGACGCACCUGCACUUGCACUUGCUGACGUGCGGUACGCUGUGUUGCCUUGAAGCCUGAGAGACCCGGGACACCCAUUGAUCGAGUUGCCAAGGCAGCUUUUUUGUGGCUGGCAUGACACGUGCCUUCUGAUUAACUGCACCACGCAGUGAUAAACCCCGGAAUACUGUUAAUACUACCAGGAAUGGCUCUCGCAAUUGAUGAUUGCAGUAUGGUACAAUAACUCUGCCCGCGUUGACUAACCGGUAGCUUCAGUCGGGUUGGCGUUUCAAAGUGCCGGGAGAUGCAUCCCUUGCUCUAUAUUAGUUCAUGUGCGUGUGGUUGUGCUUUCAGCCAGACCGCGUCGUCGGGUUGUCUUUAGCUGUAAUUGAGUUGGUGCGCACCAACCCUUGCUGAACCCUUACAUCAAACUUUAUACUUUCCUAGUAGUAACGGGCUUGUCGUUCCAGCCAUGUAGGCAGUUGCAAAAGCACGGGACGGCCGCACCUGAAAAACCAAAAAUACGGGAUAUGGUGCUCACGUGGUUUGCACUUCACGUUGUGUGCGCAAACGUUGUGGCCGGUUGCGCUCUAGCUAGGGGCCCGCCUGCUGGUGUGGGAUGGCAUGCCUUUGAUACCUUCUUCAUAAUCAAUCGGCCCGGCGCGUGCCCAAGUGCUUGGGUUUCACGAGAGACAAACAACAAUUUGGUUGGGCUACAGUGUGCGUGGGUGACUGCAUCUCGCUUGCAGCACAGCAAGGGAGCUCGCGUGUGUGUGUGUGUGUGUGUGUGUGUGUGUGUGUGUGUGUGUGUGUGUGUGUGUGUGUGUGUGUGUGUGUGUGUUAAAGAGCACAAGGAAAACGAUGCGCAAAGACAGUGUAUAUGUGUGUGUGUGUGUGCGCGUUUGUGUGUUUGGUGCACGCACGGGCUGACGACUGCUGGCACCGUGUGUUAGUGACGCACACGUACGGGGAAGCGUGUGUGUGUGUGUGUGUGUGUGUGUGUGUGUGUGUGUGUGUGUGUGUGUGUGUGUGUGUGUGUGUGUGUGUGUGUGUCAUAUUUCGGCGGUAGGCGUGAGCAAUGCUUGGUCGCAGCUAUAAUGAUUAGGGAACAGGCUCUGUACUUGCCUGUCUCUUAGUAGGUCUUCAGCGGCUAUCUGGGGGCCCGAGCCCUAGGUGGCAUAGGCGCUGGGUAGGGUGCUACGAAACAUUGGAUGCUCGAGAGCCAGCAUUUCUACAUGGCUGGGAGUGGGAGGGAGGAUGGUGUGCAAAUGCCUGGGUUGCUGCUGCUUGGUGGUGGGUGGGAUGAAGCACUUGCAGUUGUAGAUGAUUUCCUGCAAACUCAAAUUCGUACGACGUUCUUCAAACGCGCACACAGACAUGGUGGGCGCCGGGUGCAGUAGCAUGGGGGCAGUCUGGUGUGGGCGUGUGGGCAUGUGUGGGCGCGGCGGCCUGCGCUCGUCCAUUCCAUCUACACUGUAGAAGUUCGCCCCAAGUCUGCCGAAGGCGGUGAAAUGUUUGGGGGUUUGGGGCCGCGCAUCUACGGGUGUGUACCGUAGACGUUUUGGCGCGGAUUUGGCGGUAUUUAAGACGUUUUGAGGGGUUGGGGGGCUUGCCCCAUGGGAAAAUAUUUCCGGGUGUAGCUGCUGCGGGAGGGUUCAUCUACGCUAUGUAGACGCCGCGGGCCUGAUGAGGGCAUCUACAAGAUACGGGCACUGGCCGCGCGGCUCGCUGCCGUCUGUGUGUGUUUGCGGCGGCCUGCAGCGAUGGUGGGGGUGACGGGCCGGUGGAGGAUGGGUCGCACGCAUGGGGGCGGAUGUACCGGCGUGGUGCGUGGGGUUUGAUGGCCACGGCAGGGAUGGAGAGCCAGGAUUGUUCAUCUGGGGUUCACCACGGCGUGUGUGUGUGUGUGUGUGCAGUUGAGUGAGCACUGAGCAGCAUAGGCCGUUGGGGGGGGGGUGCGGCCUGAAGGGAUGUGUGGGCCUGGGUACACCCGGGUGCGACCUGUGAGCACGUUUCCGGGGAGGGAGGCUUCAUACAUGAUACAUUCGGGGACGGGUGCGGGAUCAACAGCAGAAUGGGGACAUAGUAGUACGGUAGUACGGUACAGGAUAAACGGUUGGUACUGCUUCUUUUGCAGGCACAGCGGGAUGAUGCCGGAAAGCGCUGGGCAACAGCAGCGUUUGUUGUUUGGCGUGAAUGGUGGCAGAUAAACUUUGCUCUCGCAAGAGCUCUUGAUGAUUAGAAAUUACCGUAGCAUGAGCGUGGAACGGAUGCGAUGGGACAGGGUAAGGGCUUAAGGGACAGGUUUGCGUAGUCCCGUAGCUAAUGUGCAGCGUAUGAGCAUUAGCGUGGAGCGGAGUGUGAUUGGGCAGAAAGAUGCCGUCGUGUGCCGUUGGCCCCGCGGCUGCUGGCCUGUUGCAGCAAGGAAUCAGGGAGCAAGGGUUGUUGUUGUUGCGUUGCAAGGUUGGGAGUGUGCGACCCUUUCCACAGUGACGAGAUUAAGCAAGCAGACGUGGCCAGGCACCAUCCCCAUUUGGUUUGGGCUCGUACUUGGCCAUCUGUCGGAAUGAGGGUCCAUUGGCCCAUGCGAGCCGGCAGGCCUUUAGCGCGCGUAUUAUGCAUUCUUGUAUGUUCUUGCCGGGCGUGGUGGCGUCGGAAUACCCAGUAGCUCAGUACGGGCCAGGGGCUCCCCCGCGAGCUCGCGAGGGGCACCCUGGUGCAAGCCCUGGUGUGACUCCCUGGCCUUUUGCACUUCUCAUUCGCCGCAAGGCCACAUAUGGCCCCAACAUUGUAACACUGUGAAUGAGGGUAACACCUGUACUCGGAACUGAAUUGGGACUGUACCGCCCGUACGGCUUGAGGUAGUCAGGGACUCAGGGACUCCUCGGGGGGGAGAGAGUUCUGCGCGCGCCGCGUGCGGCGCGAUGGGCACCACCAUCUACAGCCAAGACCAAGGGCUAUAUUAAUAAUAAACUGCUGAUUACAGGGCAGCAUUAUGCUAUCAAGCUUCCUUAUUUGAUUAUUUCAGAAAGUCCAAGGCCUAACCUGAGACCUAACAGGAAACAUGCAAGCCCUCGUUGGCAACAUCGCUGACAACAAAUAAUUACUGCCUAAACUUCCUGUUUAUAAGGCUGGGCGCUUUGUAAGGCCGAUAGGCCAGCCGACUUGGCAGGAAAAGACAUGGCCGCAGAGGGCGUAGUCGGCUCGUGCGGGCUAUGCCAGCAGGACAUUCAUGAUACUGAGCACUUCAAGUAAGAUCGACUUCAAGCGGGGGCGUGCCGAGUUAGCAAGCUUUGCGCGCCGAUUUGCUCAUAGUCGCUGAUCGCUUCAGUAUUGCACUGGGUAAUGGUGGUAGUAUGACUGCGUUGCGUUGAGGGCGGGCGAGCUGGUCGUCGGCUGCCCGGCAACCCGAAGCUUCCGGCGAACCCUGCCCUCCCCCUGCACCGUCACUGUGCGUCUUGGCCCGUGUGCAGGGAGCUGGACUGCACGUUCCCCUCAUGCCCCUGCUCAAUCUUCCAUGAUGACUGCAUGGUGCCCUACAUGCGGCGGAAGGGGCGACAAGGGACAGAGCAGCGGGUGUGUCGGCGAUGCCGGGAGAAGCAGUGGGCGCCGUCAAAGCCAGCACCGCUAGCUGGUUCGGGAGAUUAGCUACCUUGCGUGCCCAUGUAAUCACGCGGAUGCUUAGGAUCUAUGCCUGUGCUGGUGCUUCUAUGUGACACCGAACCAUUCCUCCCAUCGUGCUGCACCCGCCACCCCCGCCCUGUGUGCCAACGCAGACCAAGUACCCCUGCCCAGCCACACUAGGUGAGCGGCCGGCGCUGCAGCCUUGUGGAUCGCCGGGGGCUUGGGCGCAUCUGGGCUUGGGCGCAUCUGGGUCAGGCGCGGUGCAGGUUGGGGCCCAAGCGCUGCAGCCCUGCGCUAGCGGUCCCGCUUCCCACCUGCCUGACCGCACCGGGUCCGGCAUCCGCGCGACUCUUUUCCCCAGGCCUGCGGUUCCCCCCCACUCUACACUCUACACGGCGGGCACACCUCAAUCCGGCUUGCCGAACCGCUCUGCCCUCCUGCCCCCGCUGCAGACAACGGCAAGGCCUGCCCCGGCACCAUCCGCGGCACGCACAACCGCGCGCCCACCAAUAAAGCCAAGAAGGAGGCGCGCGGCGAGGCGGCUGUGGCGGUGAACGCGCAGCUCAACGCGGCGGCGGCGGCGGCAGGUGGGUGGGUGGGUGGGUGGGUGGGUGGGUGUAGGCCGGGUGCUUGGGGCUGUACCAGGGCCGUGCCUGACGUCUCCCUUGCACCAUGGUACUAGCGGCGGGCUCUGGCAGGCCAUGUGGGUCAUAUGGGUCAUGUGGGUCGGGCCGCGUGCGGUCCGGCGGCCGGUGUUUUGCUCAACAGGUGUGUGCGCGGGUGCAUUGCUCGCACAGGUCCCGCGGCGGCCGCGACGCAGGCCCUGCCCCCAAGGGGGCGCCCGACAGCCGCAGUGGCGGGUGCACCAGCGGCGGCAGCGGCGGGCGGCGCGCCAAAGGUGUUGAUGCGGGCGGCACCGGCGGCGGCUAGCAGUAACGGCGCAGGCGCCGUCCGUGUCGUGCCGGCGAUGGCGGUGCAGCAGCGGCAGGGCGCGGGCGGGGCGCCGGCGGUGUCCGCUUGGUUGCGGGCGCCGCCGUCCAUUGUGACCCAGGCGCGAGCAGGUCGGGACUGCAGGGCGCAUGGCUGCAUGGAGGGUGGUGGUGUUGCGAUGCCGUGAUGCCACACUGGGGUUCGGGCGUGGCGAGCCUCAUGACUUUGACAGUGCGUGAAGUGGCGUGUUUGUUUGCCUACUUUGAUGACCGUUACCGUUGCCGCCCUGGCGCCCACAUUGCGUGAUGAUCCUGAGUCCUGACGCGCCCCCACCCGCCAUCCGCGUGGCUGCAGCCUCGCCGGAGCCUCUUCAAGGGGCGGCAGCAGCGGCAGUGGCCCGUGCGCGGCCGCCGGCGCCAGGGCCCGCCGCGCCCGGCGCCGCCGCGGCGGCGCGCAUGGCGGGCGACGCCGCCGCCGCGCCGGCGGGCGCCCUGGCGGCGGCGGUGGCCGCCAACUCGGCCAUGGCGCCGCAGCGUGUGGUGCGGCAGCGUAUCAUACCCGGAAUGGACGAGGACGCAGCCGCCGGGGCCGCCGGGGCCGGGGCUGGGGCCGGCAGGAAGAAGAAGGGCAAGGGCGCGCAGCAGGCGCUGUCGUUGGAUGAGCAGCGGAAGCUCGUGGCCGCGCUACGGCAGGAGAUAGCGCCAGGGCCGGGGGCGCGAGCCGGGGCCGGGGCUGGGGCGGCGGGGGCCGCGGGCGGCCGCGCCGGCGGCGCGGGCGCUGACGGCGCGUCCACGGCGACGGGCGGGGACACGGAAGACAUGGAUGACGACGGCGGCGGCGAUGACGGCGCCAGCUCAGCGACUGGGAGCGCCGCGGGGCCUGCUGCGGCGCCUGCUGCGGGCGCGGCCUGGGGGCGGCCGGGUGCGGGUACCGGCGCCGUUGCUGGCGGCGGUAUGAGCCGGGCCGGGUCCACACACCUGGCACCGCAGUCGGCUGCCGGGACGCCACGCGGCGGCACCACCCAGCAACAACAGCAACAACAGCAACAGCAGCAACAGCAGGCGGCGGCGGCGGACGGCGAUGCGGACCCUGACCCCAUCGUGUACAUCGACCCGGUAAGUCGGCGCAGCAGGGUCUGGGGCCAAAAGACCUGGCGGCAGCAGCAGGCAACGUCGCGGGAAAAGGCGAACAGCAACGGCGCGCCACCCCGCCCACCCCUGCGAUUAGGCGAGAGCCGGGUGCCUUUGUCCACGAAAACCCAGUGCUUUGCCUGUCCCUGCCCACCACCCACCACGCGCCUCCUUGCCGACGCACGCACGCACGCACGCACGCACACACGCAACACCACCACCUUUCCACUUACACCCUCCUUACACACACGCACACACAGGUGGUCCAGACCGCCGACGGCAUGCUGCUGGUAAUCGACCCCCUGACCAGCACCUACGUGGCGGCCGCCGACCUGUACGGCCCCACCCCCGAGGUGGUCAUGUUCCCGGAUGAGGCGGCGCCCGACGGCGUGUCCUGGGGCGUCGCCAUCCGGCAGUCCGCGGUGGAGGCGCGCGAGGCAGAGGCGCGCCGCGCCCAGCACGAGGCCGUGGUGGAGGCGGCGGCGCGGCUGCGCGAGCAGGAGCGCGAGCGGCGGGAGGCGCUGGUGCGGGAGGCGGCGGCGGUGGCGGCGGCGGCGCGGCGGCGGGAGGCGGGGCUCGACGACGGGGAGGAGGAGGCCGCGGCGGCGGCUGCGGCAAAGCAGGCGGAGGAGGAGGCUGCGGCGGUGGCGAGGAAGGCGGAGGAGGAGGCUGCGGCGGCAGAACGGGCGGCGGAGGAGGCAAGAAAGGCAGCUGAAGAGGCCGCGGCGGCAAGAAGGGUGGCGGAGGAGGCGGCGGCGGCAAGAAGGGCGGCGGAGGAGGAGGCUGCGAAAAAGGCGGUGGAGGAGGCUGCGGCUGCCGCAGCACUGAAAGCGGAGGAGGACGCGGCGGCAGCGGCGGCUGCGGAGGUGGCGGCUGCAGAUGCAAAGAAGGCGGAGAAGGAGAAGAAGAAGGCGGAGAAGAAGGCGGAGAAGGAGCGGCUCAAGGCGGAGAAGGAGAAGGCGGACAAGGCGCUCGCAGAGCAGGAGCGGCUGCUCAAGGCAGGCCGGCUAGCCAGGGCCGCCGCUGCUGAUGGCGGCGGUGAAGCGGAGGAAGUGGUGGCGCCUGAGGUAGGCGAGAGUGGUGCGACAGGGCCGGCCGCGGGCGCAGCUAGUGCAUUGGCUUCGGUGGCGGCGGCGGCUGGCGGCGCUUCCGGCUCUGCACUAGCGGCCGCUGCUGCCGCAGCCGCGGUCACGCCAGCAGCUGCAACCGCCAACGGUACAGCUGCGCCGCCUGCCCCGGCUUCCGCCGGUGCCGCGGUGCUGCCGCCGACCCCACCACAGCCGCGUAUGCAGUUGCCGGUGCCGGUGCCGGCCUCCACCGUACAGCUGGUGCCCGUGGCAAUGCCGGUGCCGGUGCCUGUGCCGGUGCCGGUGCCCAUGUCUCCGCCGGCACUGCAGGCGCAACCAGUGGUGUAUGCUGCGCCGCCGCAGCCGCCGCAGCCGCCGCCCCAGCAGGUGCCGCUGCCGCCGCAUCUCCCGCCCUUCAUGGCGCACCUCGCUGGCCGCCCCGCCGUCGCACUGGCGCCGGCGUCGCCCUCCUCCACAGCCGCCGUCACCCAAGCCGCCAACACGGCGGCGGCGCCGGUCCCGGCGGCGCAGCAGCAGCGCCCGGGCACGGCGGCGGCUAUGCUGGCGGCCCUGAACCCCGCCUUUGCCGCGCUGGGGCUGGCGCAGCCGCAGCAGCAGCAGCAGCGGCCAGUUGCCAUGCAGGUGACAGUCACCAUGCAGCAGCAUCAGCAGCAGCAGCCGCAGCAGCAGGGGGCGGCGCCGCCCGCCGCCACCGCGUCCCCUGCCUACCCGCCCGGCCACCCGCUGUUUGCGCUGAUGAUGGCGGGCCGGGCCAACCACGGCGGCGGUCCCGCCGCGGCCACCCCUGCAGCCGCUGCGGCGCCUGCUGCCGCGGCGCCCCCUGCGGCUGGCGCCGCUGCGGCGCCCGCUGCGGCUGCCGAGGACGCGGCGGCGGCGGGUGGCGGCGGCGCGGGCGGCGAGGAGCUGGAGGACCUGCUGUCGCUGCUGUGCGUUUGAGCGGGUGGGCUGGAGGCUGGUGCGCCUGCGGCAUUGACAGCAGGUGGUGGCAAGCAGUGGCGCACAGAUUAUUCGGGCAUGGUAUGUGAGUUAGCGUGGAAGCGCGAGCGUUGCAAUGACUGGAAAGUACUGUUGAUGUGCUGCUGGCACGAGUGUGAACGAGUGUCUGUACGAGAGCCGCGCCAAAGAAAGCCGCCGGAAGGCAUGCGCUUUACAGGACUGGGUACAAGCUAAUAGUACAUGCUUUCAUAAUGCUUUCACCAUGGGGCGCCCGCGCGGAACAUAUGUGUCGGACUCGAACUGGGGGCCGCGGACUGCAGGGGGUUGCACGGUUGGCCAGGAUGAACGAAUGGCGUAAGAACGCGGGCAAGAGUGAUUACCGUAUGAACGGAUGCACGUACUCCCAUAGCGUGUAGCCCUGGUCGCAUGCUCGCUGAGGAAGACGAAACUGAGCAGGGUGCGGUGGGGGGUGGGGGCGACACUGGGGGGUGACAUGAGCGCGCAUGGAGAACUGCGUGGGCCGAGUCGGAAUGAAAGCAGGUUGCAAUUUACACCGCUAACUUGUAAGCUGCUUUAAUGUCUGAAACCACUUUCGCACUAAUAGGAACGGCGACCAUCGCAGCACAGUUUCGAACCAUGCUAUGCCCCAAGAAGGCACGGCGGUGCUCUCAUUAUCAAUCCGACGCGACAAGCUGUGCCGCAUGUCGACAUGUUUGAGGCAGCAAGCAGCGAUCAGCAGAAGCCUUUCGAGUAGCGACCUUGCCUUGUCUCCAGUCUUCGCGCACGCCCUUGAAUGGCGUCAACUCUGAAAUGCGGGGUGUGCUUUAAAGACAUUUCAACCGCGGAUGAUGAGUAUCGGUAAGCUUUUCGGGCGCAUCGCUCUUUGGUCGCUGCCCCGCGCAACCCCCCAGCGAGCAGUGACCGGGCAAACGAGGGCAUGCGAUAGGCUGGUCACCAGAGCCGUGUAGCUUGUGGACAACAAGGGCCGUGCAGACCAGGGUUUGCUGAGGGGCCCGCCAUCAUGACACGAAGUGACUCGGGCAUUCUGCCUGUGUGUGAUACGUCACAGGGAGGUACAGUGCACGUUCCCGCGCUGCCCCGGAGAAUACUGCCACGAGGAGUGCUGGACAGGUGAGCCCCACCGGUCGGGCCGGCAAGGGCAAUCAGGGGGGUUGCAAGUUUGCAACCCCCCGCUGGCCUCGGGCGCUACGUCUGUUGUGUCUAGAUGCCAAGCUGCCAGUUCACAGCUGCGUCACUGUUCCGGAUAAGCCACAACUGGAUGCGAUCAACGCAGACCCUUGCCCUUUCCUUUGUCAGGGCUCUGCCUCGUGACCCACGUCGCGCGCCUGACAGCUCCCACCGCUCCUGAUGCCACCUGCAAUGCCUCCCACACGCCUCCACACACACGCCUCCACACACACAUACACGCACACUGUCUUGGCACUUAUCUUCCUUGUGCUCUUCAACAACACACACGCACACAUACAUACACACCACCCCGCCGCCGCCACAGGCUACCUGAAGAAGGCCUGUAACCUGAGGCGGCUGCAGGACGGGGUGCAGAAGAACGGCAACGGGCUGAACUGGUGCGGGGUUGCAGGGGAUAGCAGCGGGCGGGGCGCGGGCAGAGAGGGGUGGCGGUUGUGGGGUGUGGGAACACCCUGUCUACACGGCGCGUUUUCACGAUCCUGUGUUACGUGGAUGUGUCUGGGAAUCCGAAACGCACGAGUUGGGCAUUAUGGUUGGGUGUUGGGCAGCAUGCGUUUCCGUGAGUCGCCCGCUGCGGCAUCCUCGGCUCCAGCUCCUCCUCCUGCUCUGACCCCACGCCUCCUCUCUGACCCUCUGCCUCCUUUGCGCUCCCUCUGCACGGCGCAGCUAUGCCACGCUGGACAACGGCAAGACCUGCCCCGGCUCCAUCAUCAAGAGCCAGGUGCGUCGCCGCGGUUGGGGGGCCAGGGCUGCCGGGCUGGCGGUCUGGCGGUUUGGCGGCCUGAAGGGCUGGGGUCGAAGGCCAAACGGGUUGACGGUGUCAGCAUCGCGCCUCCGGUACGCCUGCGGCGGCGGGUGGGGGUCACAAGAACCACCAUACCGUACUCUAGGGGUGCGCGUGCGGCUGUUAGGGCGCGUGGGUGCGUCCUCGGCGCACCACCGCAUCCGGCCGUCCUCUAGCCAGUACGGCUGUUGCUGCGGGUUCAAUGCGGUUGCUAAUGCGGUGCUGCCGAUUGCCGGUGCUGGGUGGCGCUGCUGGCUGCAGGUGCGCGCACCGGCCCGGCUCAAGGAGAAGCGCAAGAACGCGGCGGUGGCUGCGCUCAAUGGCGCAGCAGCGGCAGCAGCAGCAGCAGCAGGCGCAGGAGGCGGCAAGGGAGCCAACAGGGGCGGCGCGGGCGCGGGCGCGGCCCCGCAGGGCCAGGCGCUGCAGCAGCAGCCGGCGCGGCCGCGGCCGGGGCCGGUUGCCGUGUCGUCUGUGGCGGUGAUUAGGCGACCGGUGGUGUUGGCGCCGGCGGCGCCGCCGGUGCGGCCGGGUGCGGCGAUUGCGGCACGGCUGGGGCUGGGCGGCGGCGAGGCGCCGGCGGCCAUUCCUGGCUGGGAGGACGAUGAAAAGGCGGCCGCGGCGGCGCAGGUGGGCUGGAAUGUUUUCUAUAUCGACCGCGCAUUGGCAUGGGAGCAUGGUCAGGCGGGCUGGAAAGGGCUGAAUUGGCGCCCACGCCUGUAGCAGCGGUCCUGACACGCCGUCAUCCGCGCAUAUUUCUUUCCGUGACCCCGCAGGCAGCCAAAGCACCUCGCAACGGCGCUGCGGGCGCCAAGGCCGGUCUUCAGGGCGCCACAGCCAAAGUCCUGAAUGGCGCUGGCCGCGGCGGCGGUGGCCGCGAUGGUGUUGAUGCCGCCUGGCUGGGCGGCCUCGACGAGGCCGAGUAUGCUGCCGCCGCAGCCGCGGCCGCGUAUUAUGACAACGGAGGCGACGACGUCGACGACGGCGACGGCGACGGCGACGGCGAGUGGUGCGUGGCAGUACGCAAGCAAAACCGCCGCGGCGGCGUCGCCAUUCCGGUUCAGCCGCCAACAAGGCGGCCGCCGCCGCCGCCGCAGCGGCGGCCGCAGGCAGCGGCAGCAGCCGUCCCGGCAGUUGCGGGCGCGCGUGGCGGCGGCGGCGGCGGCGGUGGUGGUGGUGGUGGGGACCAGGAGGCGGACGGGGGCGAUGGCGGCGUUGGCGAGGACGAGGACGAGGACGAUGAGGAGCUGGAUGCCAUGGUGCUGGAGGCGGUGGGCGGCGACAUCAGCGGACUGCCGGCGGCGGAGCUGAGGGCGCUGCGGCGCGCGCUGGCCGAGUCCCGGCGCGAGGCGGAGGCGGAGGCCGCCGCACUGGACCUGCCGCCCUCGCCCUCCUCCUGGUUCCGCGGCCCGCCGUCUGCCGCAGCCGCGUCAGUGAACGGCGCCGGCACCGCCUUCAGCGCCGGCCGGCACCGCCCGGAGGAGGAAGGCGCGGCGGCGGCCGCGGCAGCGGCGGCCAGGGACGGCGGCGCGAACCUGAUGCUGGAGGAGCGCAACGCGCUGAACCCCAUCGUGCAGGUGGACCCGGUGUGCCUGUCGGCGGCGGACGCCGCUGGCGAGGGCGAGUACCUGGUGUCUGACCCGGCGGACCGCACCCGCCUGGUGACGGCCGUGUCGGUGUACGGUACUGGGUUUGAGGUGGUGACCAUGGAGUGCGCCGACGGCACGCACGUGACCGGCGUCGCCAUCCGGAUGUCGAUGUUGGUGGCGCAGCAGGCGGCGGCGCUGCGAGAGGCCGAGGUGCAGCGGCGGGAGGACAUGCGCGCGCAGGCGCAGGCGGCCGCGGCGGCGGCCCGGGCCCGCCACGCGCGGGAGGAGGCGGAGGCAGCUAAGGCGCAGGCGGCCGCAGCCCCCGUCCCCGCCGCCGCCCAGCCCUCCACCGCGCACGGCGCGGCGCCAGCCGCAGCUGUGUCGCCUGUGACGGCCACAGCCGCCCAACUGCAGCAGCCGCCGCCGGCGGCCGCGGCGCCGGUACGCAGUCCCAUGCCGCUGCCCCAGGCGGCGGCACCACCUGGCCCUGCGCAGCACCUGGCGCCGGCGGCACUGGCGGCGCUACAGCCGCCACCGGCGCCGUCUAAGUGGGGGCCGUCCAAGUGGGGGCCCCCCGCGACAGCCGCGCCGUCCGCUCCGCCACCACCAGUGCCUGCUGCUGCUCCCGUGCCUACGACUCAGGCGACAGCGCCACCACCUCAGCCGCUACAGCCGCUACAGCCGCUACAGCCGCUGCAGCAACCCGCGUACCAGCAGGCGCCUCAGACCCGCCCGGCGCAGCCAGUGGCGGCGCAGCAGCCAGCAGUGGCGGCACCGCCAGCCCCGCCCGCAGCCCAGCAUGGUCCCGGAUCGCUACCGCCCGCGGCGGCCGCUGUCUUCCUCCCUAGCGCCAACCCACCGCCGCUGCCAGCAACAGGACCUCUGGUGACGGCGGCAGUAGCAGCCCCGACUCCGCCCAUCGCGACGCCUGCAUCGGGCCAGGGGCCGCAGCCACCGCCGCCGUACGUGCAGCGGCUGGCGCAGCAGCCCGCACAGCUGCAGCUGCGCCCCACUCAGCCCCCAGCAGCCGUGCCUGCCACCGCGCCGGCUGUAAAUCCCUACAACACGGCGGCGCACGCGGCGCCACCCCCGGUCAACCCCUACGCAGCGCUGCCCCCAGUCAACCCGUUUGCGCCUGCUGCACCUCCUCCUGCGCCCGCUGCUCCUGCGCCUGCCCCUGGUACUGCCGGCGUGCCUGCCGGGCCGCUGCCGCCGCCUGCGUACCUUCACCCGCAGCCGCUGCAGCCGCCAGCGCAGCCCGCGCUCACGGCUGCGGCCGCUGUCAACCCCUACCUGCAGCAGCAGCAGCAGCAGCAGCAGCAGCCCCUGCAGCCGGGGGCGGUGCAGCCUGUGGUAGCGCAGCCGGCCGUGGCAGCGCUACCUCUGGGCGUCAACCCCUAUGCCCCGCACGCGCAGGUGCAGCUGCAGCCGGCGGUGCAGGUGCAGACACAGCAGCAGCCGCAGCAGCACGUGCCUGCAGCGCCGGUCAAUCCGUACAACCCGUACAAUCCGUUCGGCGGGCAGCAGGGCGCGUCUGCGGCCGUGCAGCACCCGUACCAUGGCGGCGCGGGGGCGGCGGCUGGCGGCGCACUGCACGCGCAGCAGCAGCAGCAGCAGGGCACCGCGGGGCCGUCCGUGGCGGCGGCGGCGGCAGGGGCGGGUCCGCCCGCGGCAGCGGAAUCGGAUCUCAAACGACUGAUGGCGCGGUUAGGCUUCGUGGGCUGAGGUAUCUCCGCUGGAGUGGAUGGAAUGGAGCGAAGCGGAGGCGGCGGUGCGUUGGUUCCGGCGGAUCCGCGUGGAGCCGUGCUGCAUUGCAAUAGUGCUGUUCAGCGGCGGGUGCAGCCGCAUGCGAAUAGAGGUCGAUUCGCUAUGAAUGCAACUUUAAGAAGUAGGAUUGUCGUGUGCAUUCGACUGGAAACGCCGCUUGCUGGGAAGGGUCGUUGACGGCCUGCGCGCCGGCGUUUGGCUAUAGGGCUUUGCGGGACUGCUUCUGACGUGCAGUGUAUAUCCCUGUACCAGUGUGACCAGCUGGCCACCAGGACGCUGGACACCAGACUCGCAAUAGAGUAGCCUGCCUUGGCAGGAAUUAUCCGGAUCAUUGUUGUCAUGGAAGCUUCGGGGAGCGCAUUUCAUCAAGUGCCGAAUGUUACAGCUUCAGCUGAUGCCGGAAGUAUGCUGGCUGACGACCAGGCGAGGCUUUAGACAUCACUACCGGUGAUGCAACGCGGGUUCCCACUCACGGGUGCCCAUUCGCCAGAACCAAUGGACCGCCCUUGACUGCAGCCUUGUCCUCCUGCAGCCCCGUGUUGGGUGUAGACAACAGGAUCUCACCACAUCCGGGGCCGGACUGCCCGGACGGCGUGACCAGAGCGGGUCAUGGGGGCAUGCCACGCCCAGUGCACAGCCACAAACACCCUACCUGACCCUACCGCCCUCAGCCAUGCAUCCAGGAAUGCACGUCAUGCGCGCCACCUUGUAACCACACACAACAGAUGCAUCCAGGGGCCGGGAGGCCCCUGUCCGGGCGGCAGCAUGGCGCCAAUGCUCUGAGUACGUGCGGUCACACGUGGUGUCGGCAGCGACUCACUGCUGCCCGGCCGAGUGCUGCGCUGCUGCCCAGGGGAGGCAGCCUCCCCUGAUGCUGCCAGUCAGCCGUACCAUCCUGGGUUGCUGACAACCCACAACGCAUGUAAGUAGCUAGGGCACCGAAGCGGCGUCCAGCCAGCUCGGCCACAGCCGCCACCCAAUGGCACGGCUGCGAGUCCGGGAGCUCCCAAGCCCGCGCAAAACACGCACGUGCGCUUUGCCUGACUCUCAAGCGCUUUGCAGCACCAGCGCACCAAAUGAACGACGCACACGGGCGAAAUGACUGCUCCCAGUUCCUGCAGCCGCCUGGUGCGCUGUGAUGCGGAGCCUCUGCAUUCCUUUUGAGUGACGUGCGGCAUUAGCACUCGCAGGCCUUUUACGUUACAGGUGGAGGUCGUGCCCGCGCACACGCCCGCCGUACUGUAGGUCCGCACGUGUGAUGAGCCAGCCGGGCGCACCGCCGCCCGCCUCAAGGCGCCCAGGCCGCCCGCGCCCACCCGAGCAGUGCGCAGGCGCCUGCGUACCACACACCCGCCCGCCUACGGCACGCGGCGCAGCGCACCUCCACCCCCGCCUCCACCUCCACCUCCUCUGCCUGCAGGCCUAGCCGCCGCCCAGGCACAGCGCCAACAGGUCCUCAAGGUCCGAGUCGUCCUCCUCCUCCUCCUCGGCCCCCGCGCCCCCCGCCUCGGCGCCCGCCCCCUCGUCGGCUUCCCCCUCCCCACCUCCUGCCCCACCUCCUGUUGUACCACCGCCUCCAACCGGCUGCUCUUGCUGCCCGUCGCCCGCGGCCACUACCGCACCAGCCGCGUCGCCCUCCUCCCCCACCACCUCUGGCUCCACCACCUCUGGCUCCAUCACCUCUGGCUCCACCGGUUGCGCCUCUUGCGCGUCCUCGACAUCGCCCACAUGCGCCUGCGCCUCCGGCUCCACCGCGCGCUGCCCUCUCACCCCCUCGCCCGCACCCUCUGCUGCUCCGGCUCCGGCACCAGCCCCAUCCACCCCUGCGGCCGCCGCCGCUGCCAUCGCGGCCGCUGCCCCCGCGGCUAGCGCCUCCACGGCCUCCUCCUCCGCCUCGGCUGCGGUGGUGGCCGCCGCGGCCGCCUGCGCCUGUGCUAUCAUCUCCUCACGCCGCUGCGCCUCCCUCUGCCGCAGCGCCGCCGCCGCCGCCACCACCUGCUGCGCCUCGUGCCGCGAGCGCCGCACCGCCACACCCUGCAGGUCCACAUGUGCACGCAGGUAGGUAUGUCAGCAAGCGGCGGCGGGCCUGGACACCUGGAAUGCCGCCACGGCCACGUGACGCACUCUUGCAAAUGCGUGGCGGAAACGGGCAGCACCCAUAUGGCAGGCCGCAACGCCGCGCCACUGCUCGACAUCGGCUGCCAGCCGCUGGCGCAAUGGAGCACGCUUACUCCGACAGUCGCACCGCAUCGCAUAAACAGAUCUGUACAUCCCCUGCUCUUGUGCGCUUUGCAACACGCACGCCGGCACACGCACCUGUAUCCAGUUUCCCGUGCCGUCGUCGCAGCACACAAUCUCUGGGUUGGGGCCGUACACCUCCGUCGCGAACACGUACACGGCGCCGCCGCCCUCGCCUCCAUCGUCGUCGUGUACCAGCACCAGGUAGCCGCCGCCGCCCUCGUCCUCCCACACCGGGUCUACCAUCACCACGGGGUCAUUCACGUCGUCAAACGCCAGUGGCGCCGCCGCCGCCGCCGCCCCGCCCGCCGCGGAGGAGGCGUCGUCGCUGCCGGCCCCGUCCACCGACGCCGCGGCGUCGUCGGCUGCGGCAGCAGCGGCUGCGGCGGCAGCGCCCUUGCCGCGCCGCCGGCGCGUCUUGGCGCCGCCGCUGGGCUCGGGGUCUAGCCCCGGGAUCCAGCGCGCGGCGCCGUCCGCGGCGGCAGCACCCGCGUCGACACCUCGCAUGCGCUCCGCAGGUGUGGGCAGCGCCGCAGCUGGUGCGCGCAUCACGGCGACGGCGGCUGCGCCUGUGGCUGCGCCCGUGCCCGCGACUGCCGCUGUCACACGGGGCUGCACACGGCGGGCCGUGGGAGCGGCUGCUUGCGGCACCGGCUGCUGAGGCGCUUUGUGUUGCGGCGCCGGCUGCUUUCUGGCGCCUGCGGCGGCGGCGCCGGCAAUGUUAGCUGCUGCCACCGCCGUCUGCUUGGCCUGCUCUCUCUUUUUGGUGUUGAAGGGCACGUGGACCGUGGUCUUUUUAAUGCGACCGCUGCGGGCGGGAAGGCGCGAGCAUGAGGUUGAACGGUCAAAUUCAUUUACGGUAGGCAAUUUCCUCUUUGCAAGAAGCCAGCCGGAUACCCCGGUACCCUCCCGCCGACCGCCAACUGGUUUCUGCGCUUCAUCAUACACGUAGUUUAUGCUACUUCAACCCAACCCACAUCAACAUCGCGCCUCUCCACACCUGCAUCUGCUGCCGUUACUGAGAGUGGCCGGGCAUUCGUAACCAGUCUGCGCGGGGCACCGGGGGAAGAGGGGUCGUUGUGGACAACGCGAGAGGGUGAGGGACAGGGACAGGCGUCGCGGUCGGUACGUGUAGCGUGCUUGCACGUGUGUGUAAUGCGACCAUUGCGUGUGUAGCCCUGCCCGCAAUGCCGCCCCACAAACCUUUUGCUCGCCACCAUGCAAAACGCGUUUGGGCUGCGGUCUCUUAAGGUAGGCUUCAAUGCUGCAGCAGUGGAGCGGAGGGAAUGUGGAGAGAUCAGGAGGGGUGGCAGGUUGGGCGCAGCCAAGGGCGCAGCGCGGCAGGCGCCGCUACGGGUGUUGUGAGAGCUAGGCAGCAUCCUAGGGAGCACCCAUAGCAGCGCAUCAGUAGCUGUGAACAUACAUGAAUGCGCCGUGUAACUGCAUGCGUAUAGCAGGUAAUAUUUUGGCUACGGGACGGGACAGUCUGAGACAGGUCAGCAGGUCCCUAAGCACUGAGACCCAGGCCAGGUUGUAGUCUGGGGGCACGCGCUGCACGGCGCUGCUGCAGGGGGCAACCUUUCGCGUUCAUUCCCGCUCACCAGUCCUCAUGGUAUUCGCGGCCGGGGCAUGCUGGAAAGGUACAAGUAAGAUCCCUGCGCGAGCGCGAAUUUGAGAGGUUUGUCAAGGUCGAUGCAAAUGCAAGACUGAGCAACAAACUCAAACUAGGCUCGGGCGUUGGACAUGUGCCUUUCGUCAAGUCUGCAAACAUUGUUGUCCCUGCAGCACGGUGCACCUGUAAUAAUCGCCGCUGACGUCCACUGGCGUAUAACAGAGCCCGCAAGCAGGCCCCUCGCUGUCCCUUGGCGACAUUCUUGCAAGGCUACAUGCAAGCAAGGUGCCAAGAGCGUCGAACUGCAGUUUCCCUUCGGGUCGGCUGCCCAGUUGCGCUUUAGCGCUGAACUGAAAUUGCACUGACUAGCGUGGCUGCCCUAGACGAUACGCAUCUACGUAUGAAAGCCAAAAGCUUAUUAUAUAUUUUACAAAUUGGCAGGCGGUGCGUCAGGCCCGUUGCGCAGUGCUGCAGAAUCCGUGUUGUGUCACUCGCCGGCCCAGGGGGCAGCGGGCGCACCGUUGCCGCAACAUCGCCUGCAUUAAACUGCGGUCAAGAACCACCACAUGCCUUAAAUGCUCAUGGAGACCAGUAAAUCCGCGCUGUUUGUGCUAGCGACUCCACCUGGCGCCCCAGCCAGCCGUAGUCCGGGCUCAGCCCCAGGUGGGGAGGCUAGUGGAGGCUCGUACACCUCUGCCGCCAGCCCCAAACACUUACAGCGAUACUACUGCUACCAUGCCCCAACCACCGGAACACCUACAAACACGGUAACACCUUACACACCAUUCCAAUCAAUCCCCCUUGUCCACGCCAAAAACCCUGCUGACACAUCGCAGCGGCCAUGCCCUAACAACAGUACUUCCCCAAGACGCCCACAGGCGACGCGCCAGCCUGCAAAACCGACUUCCUCAACAACCAACAUUCCCGACCAAAUGCCAAAUCAAACACUCGCAACGCCUGCUUCAUCUGCUAAAUUCCACUACUCUACAGGCCGCCCUCACACACUCACACUCACACGCACAGCAGCGCCAUCAGGUCGUCCACGUCGUCAUCCGCCGCCGCCGCCGCCACCGCCGGCGCGGCGCCGCCCGCCUUCAUGUAGUACGGCGCAGCCGCCACGGCAGCCGCUGCCGGCGCCGCAGGCGCGCCGCCGCCGCCGUACGGGUAGCCGCCGCCGCCGCCCCCUCCUGGCACCAGGUACGACGGUAGUGCUGUGCUGGCUGCGCCUGCCACGGCGGGUGCUGCUUGCGCUGCUGACGCAGCUGCAGCUGGCCCUGCCGGCGCCUCGGCGGUGACGCCCAGCAGCGCCAUCAGGUCGUGCAUCUCCCCCUCCUCCUCCUCGUCGUGCUGCUGGUAGAAAGCAGCGUACGCGCCCGCAUGGGCGCUUGCGUACAUGCCAGUGGCAGCGGGAGCAGCGGGCGCAGCGGGAGCAGCGGGCGCAAACACACUGACUGGCACAGCCGGCCGCCCCAGUGCGCCGGAAGACGCCACAGCGGGAAGACCGCCGGCACCCGCCGCCGCCGCUGCUGUUGCUGCUGCAGCUACCGCCGCUGCGUCUAACAAAGCCUGCUGCUGCUGCACCAUCGCCGCCGCCUGCGCCGCGGCUGCGGCCUCCGCCGCCGCCACAGCGGCCACCGCCGCCUCUGCCUCCGCCGCCUCUGCUGCCACUGCCGCCGCCGCCGCCUGCUGUGACUCCAUCUGGCUUUGGCGAAUGACCACUGCGUAGGUGACCGCGCCGGUGGUGGGGUCGGCGAACCCGCGCAGCUCGGCCGCCGCGCCGUACACGUCCUCCAUGCGCAGGAAGGUGCCGGCACCGUCCUGUACCACCACCGUACCUAUGUGCGUGGGGAGCGUGCAGGGCGGGAGGUGCGCGUGCGUGGGGAGCGUGCAGGGCGGGAGGUGCGCGUGCGUGGGGAGCGUGCAGGGCGGGAGGUGCGCGUGCGUGGGGAGCGUGCAGGGCGGGAGGUGCGCGUGCGUGGGGAGCGUGCAGGGCGGGAGGUGCGCGUGCGUGGGGAGCGUGCAGGGCGGGAGGUGCGCGUGCGUGGGGGGCGUGCAGGGCAGGUGCGCAGGCAAGGUGGAGUACCAAUAAAGCGGGCGCAGCAGGCACAAUGUGGCGGGCUUUCCACGCUGUGCCGGGUAAGCGCAAGCCGCCACCGCCCGCACCAGCCCCUGCACGGGCCCGCCCUGUCCGCCCGCGCCAGCUCCUCUACCUGCCACGCAGCCCCAGUUCCGCGAACCCGACACACGACCCCACCGCCCGACGCCCCCACCCCGUCCACCGCACCGCCCCCCAAGAUGCUCGCCCCCUAUCGCUGCCCCUCCAUCUCUGUCGCUCCAUCUCUGUCCCUGCCUCCCGCUCCCCCGACUCACCGUCCUCGCACAUGUACACGGGGUCGGUGGCCACGAUUGGGUCCUGCUCGUCAAGAGCCAUCGCCGCAGCCGCCGCCGCCGCAGCCUCGGGAUCCUCGCUGAGUGACGCCGCCACCGUGCCCGACGCGCCCUCGUCCACAUCGCUAUCCUCAUCCUCGUCCCCGUCCCCGUCGUCAGCGCUGCUGCCGCUGCCCAUGGGGCCACCGGUGGCGGCGCUAGGGGCCGCCGCACUUGAAGCCGUCGCAACGGAGCCGGCGCCGCGCCUGCCGCCCGCACCCGCCCCCAGCGGGAACGCGGGGAAAUCCUCCUGCUGCAUCUCAAAUUCUCGCGGCGUCGCCGCUGGCGCCGGCGCAACCUCCCAGCCGGCCGCCUGCUGAUCCUGACCCACAUCAGCACCACUGGCCGCAUCAGACUCUGCCCGCUGGGCGGCUACGCCUGCGCCUGCUCUGCCCGGGCCGGCGGCUUGGGCGACUGUGGCGGCGGCAGCUGCGGCUGCCAGCGCCUUGUUGCCCUUGCCUGCCUCGGCCUUGGCCUGCGCCUUGAGUUUGGCCACCAGCUCACGCUUUUGAUCCAGAGCCGACUGCUUGGCGCCGUGAGAGGGGGAGGCGGGCGGCGGGAGCGAGGGAGGGAGUGG